rnacentral:lncRNA from 1 species
GAGUGUGGCAUCUUGGCCUCGCGCUCAAUAGUGAAUGCUGUUCCUAAAUUUCUAUACAAAAAGAUAAAAAUCUACAACUACAAAUAUAUGCCAAUUUAGGAAAGUAUGACAAAACACUUUCUUUUCUUUUUGUAACUAAGUGAAGGGUACGUGCUUGUUAAAAUCCAAUAACAAUAAUCUAAUCACAAUUCGGUGCUCACAAUAUUAAACAUAAAAGAAAUCUCGUUAAUUAUUUUUCUAUAAAAGGCUACACACUCCUAUAUCUAUCUACUUACUCAUCACUCAUUUUCACAAACCCAAACCCUUAUUCUAAAAAAAUGGGGUCUCGAACACAACACCUCUCCUUUCUCAUUUUCAUCCUCCUCGGCUUCCUCGCCGUCUCCUUCGCUUGCGACUGUAGCCCCCCUAAACCAUCACCUCACAAACCCCCAAAACACCCCGUCAAACCGCCUAAACCACCUGUGUCAAACCUAAACCNNNNNNNNNNNNNNNNNNNNNNNNNNNNNNNNNNNNNNNNNNNNNNNNNNNNNNNNNNNNNNNNNNNNNNNNNNNNNNNNNNNNNNNNNNNNNNNNNNNNNNNNNNNNNNNNNNNNNNNNNNNNNNNNNNNNNNNNNNNNNNNNNNNNNNNNNNNNNNNNNNNNNNNNNNNNNNNNNNNNNNNNNNNNNNNNNNNNNNNNNNNNNNNNNNNNNNNNNNNNNNNNNNNNNNNNNNNNNNNNNNNNNNNNNNNNNNNNNNNNNNNNNNNNNNNNNNNNNNNNNNNNNNNNNNNNNNNNNNNNNNNNNNNNNNNNNNNNNNNNNNNNNNNNNNNNNNNNNNNNNNNNNNNNNNNNNNNNNNNNNNNNNNNNNNNNNNNNNNNNNNNNNNNNNNNNNNNNNNNNNNNNNNNNNNNNNNNNNNNNNNNNNNNNNNNNNNNNNNNNNNNNNNNNNNNNNNNNNNNNNNNNNNNNNNNNNNNNNNNNNNNNNNNNNNNNNNNNNNNNNNNNNNNNNNNNNNNNNNNNNNNNNNNNNNNNNNNNNNNNNNNNNNNNNNNNNNNNNNNNNNNNNNNNNNNNNNNNNNNNNNNNNNNNNNNNNNNNNNNNNNNNNNNNNNNNNNNNNNNNNNNNNNNNNNNNNNNNNNNNNNNNNNNNNNNNNNNNNNNNNNNNNNNNNNNNNNNNNNNNNNNNNNNNNNNNNNNNNNNNNNNNNNNNNNNNNNNNNNNNNNNNNNNNNNNNNNNNNNNNNNNNNNNNNNNNNNNNNNNNNNNNNNNNNNNNNNNNNNNNNNNNNNNNNNNNNNNNNNNNNNNNNNNNNNNNNNNNNNNNNNNNNNNNNNNNNNNNNNNNNNNNNNNNNNNNNNNNNNNNNNNNNNNNNNNNNNNNNNNNNNNNNNNNNNNNNNNNNNNNNNNNNNNNNNNNNNNNNNNNNNNNNNNNNNNNNNNNNNNNNNNNNNNNNNNNNNNNNNNNNNNNNNNNNNNNNNNNNNNNNNNNNNNNNNNNNNNNNNNNNNNNNNNNNNNNNNNNNNNNNNNNNNNNNNNNNNNNNNNNNNNNNNNNNNNNNNNNNNNNNNNNNNNNNNNNNNNNNNNNNNNNNNNNNNNNNNNNNNNNNNNNNNNNNNNNNNNNNNNNNNNNNNNNNNNNNNNNNNNNNNNNNNNNNNNNNNNNNNNNNNNNNNNNNNNNNNNNNNNNNNNNNNNNNNNNNNNNNNNNNNNNNNNNNNNNNNNNNNNNNNNNNNNNNNNNNNNNNNNNNNNNNNNNNNNNNNNNNNNNNNNNNNNNNNNNNNNNNNNNNNNNNNNNNNNNNNNNNNNNNNNNNNNNNNNNNNNNNNNNNNNNNNNNNNNNNNNNNNNNNNNNNNNNNNNNNNNNNNNNNNNNNNNNNNNNNNNNNNNNNNNNNNNNNNNNNNNNNNNNNNNNNNNNNNNNNNNNNNNNNNNNNNNNNNNNNNNNNNNNNNNNNNNNNNNNNNNNNNNNNNNNNNNNNNNNNNNNNNNNNNNNNNNNNNNNNNNNNNNNNNNNNNNNNNNNNNNNNNNNNNNNNNNNNNNNNNNNNNNNNNNNNNNNNNNNNNNNNNNNNNNNNNNNNNNNNNNNNNNNNNNNNNNNNNNNNNNNNNNNNNNNNNNNNNNNNNNNNNNNNNNNNNNNNNNNNNNNNNNNNNNNNNNNNNNNNNNNNNNNNNNNNNNNNNNNNNNNNNNNNNNNNNNNNNNNNNNNNNNNNNNNNNNNNNNNNNNNNNNNNNNNNNNNNNNNNNNNNNNNNNNNNNNNNNNNNNNNNNNNNNNNNNNNNNNNNNNNNNNNNNNNNNNNNNNNNNNNNNNNNNNNNNNNNNNNNNNNNNNNNNNNNNNNNNNNNNNNNNNNNNNNNNNNNNNNNNNNNNNNNNNNNNNNNNNNNNNNNNNNNNNNNNNNNNNNNNNNNNNNNNNNNNNNNNNNNNNNNNNNNNNNNNNNNNNNNNNNNNNNNNNNNNNNNNNNNNNNNNNNNNNNNNNNNNNNNNNNNNNNNNNNNNNNNNNNNNNNNNNNNNNNNNNNNNNNNNNNNNNNNNNNNNNNNNNNNNNNNNNNNNNNNNNNNNNNNNNNNNNNNNNNNNNNNNNNNNNNNNNNNNNNNNNNNNNNNNNNNNNNNNNNNNNNNNNNNNNNNNNNNNNNNNNNNNNNNNNNNNNNNNNNNNNNNNNNNNNNNNNNNNNNNNNNNNNNNNNNNNNNNNNNNNNNNNNNNNNNNNNNNNNNNNNNNNNNNNNNNNNNNNNNNNNNNNNNNNNNNNNNNNNNNNNNNNNNNNNNNNNNNNNNNNNNNNNNNNNNNNNNNNNNNNNNNNNNNNNNNNNNNNNNNNNNNNNNNNNNNNNNNNNNNNNNNNNNNNNNNNNNNNNNNNNNNNNNNNNNNNNNNNNNNNNNNNNNNNNNNNNNNNNNNNNNNNNNNNNNNNNNNNNNNNNNNNNNNNNNNNNNNNNNNNNNNNNNNNNNNNNNNNNNNNNNNNNNNNNNNNNNNNNNNNNNNNNNNNNNNNNNNNNNNNNNNNNNNNNNNNNNNNNNNNNNNNNNNNNNNNNNNNNNNNNNNNNNNNNNNNNNNNNNNNNNNNNNNNNNNNNNNNNNNNNNNNNNNNNNNNNNNNNNNNNNNNNNNNNNNNNNNNNNNNNNNNNNNNNNNNNNNNNNNNNNNNNNNNNNNNNNNNNNNNNNNNNNNNNNNNNNNNNNNNNNNNNNNNNNNNNNNNNNNNNNNNNNNNNNNNNNNNNNNNNNNNNNNNNNNNNNNNNNNNNNNNNNNNNNNNNNNNNNNNNNNNNNNNNNNNNNNNNNNNNNNNNNNNNNNNNNNNNNNNNNNNNNNNNNNNNNNNNNNNNNNNNNNNNNNNNNNNNNNNNNNNNNNNNNNNNNNNNNNNNNNNNNNNNNNNNNNNNNNNNNNNNNNNNNNNNNNNNNNNNNNNNNNNNNNNNNNNNNNNNNNNNNNNNNNNNNNNNNNNNNNNNNNNNNNNNNNNNNNNNNNNNNNNNNNNNNNNNNNNNNNNNNNNNNNNNNNNNNNNNNNNNNNNNNNNNNNNNNNNNNNNNNNNNNNNNNNNNNNNNNNNNNNNNNNNNNNNNNNNNNNNNNNNNNUGAAUUUUUAAUCGCCGUGGAAAGAAGCAUACACUUCAUCAAGUCAAAGUCUAUUAUUCUUAGAUCUUCAACGCCAGGUUAUAAGAUGCUAUGGCUCGUAGAGAGAAGUACGUAUACUGGUAUACACUUCAUCAAGUCAAAGCCUAAUGAUUUUUUUCAACGUUAGAUGUCAAAAAUGAAGUAUAUCUUUUCCCUAUAUAUACUCCAAUCCUGGAUUAUAAAAAAUUAGCAUGUCAAAUUUGUAAAACGGAUUGUUUAGAAUUAGUUAACAUAAUAACAUCCCUAAAGAAAUGACUCCCUAUUUCCAAUCUUACAUAUAAAUUUUAGUGAGCUUCAAGCUAAGAUGCUAAAGUGGCUUAGCUUUCCCUCUUAUUUUUCUUCUUCUUUAAUAGCCUUUCAUCGAAUUUACUCGUUAAACUCGAAUUAAGUUUUCUGAUUUUUCGUUUGGAACUUCUGAUUGGUAAUUAGAAAUUAUUCUUGUUGUUAGACCGUAUACGUAUAUUACAUCCAUGUGAUAAUAAUUACUGUAUAUGUCCGAAACUCCGAGUUAUGAUCUUAUAUUGGGCUUAAAUUUUAAAUAUUUGGGCUCUCAGCCUAUCGAAUAAGUACACGCUUGGAGCAGUUAAGACCCAAUUAAAAAUGCAGAGCUUUUUGUUUGUCUGUCUUGUAGAACAAGUUCACAUCUCACAGGUCGCCUUUUAUCGAGCAAAUUCUCAGCAAAAUCAAAGAAGAGCCGGGAAAGUGAAAGCAAUUCUUCUCAGGUAAACUUCUACUCAUUCUGUUUUCUCCAAUCCAAUCCAUUUUUUCGUCUCCGAAUCUGAGUAUCUUCGUUUUCCCGUAAAGAAUUUGAGUUGCUGGAUCUGUAUUUAGCGCAGCAAUUGCUAUGAAAUCUUCAAAAAAAUUUUGAUUUAGAUAAACCCUAGCUAGAUGCGAUUCUGGGUGAUGUAAUUCUCUUAUAUAUGCAUCAUCAAGUGAUUUUCUACUAAAUUUCUACUUGCUAAUUGUCUUCGAUUUUUCUAUUAGAUCAAUAGUGCUUUCACAAAAUCCCUCCAGUGAUUUCAUAUCUAAGGUUUGUCUCGAUCUCAAAGUAACAGCGAUUGAUAAACCUAAUUGUUCUCGUUCUAAUGUCGAAUAUUUACCUAGACUAGCCUGGUUUUAUUGUGAAUUAAUCGGCCGAGUAGAUCUCUGUGAUGUCGAAACCCUAACUUUAAGAGAGAAUCAGUUGAGCUCAAUGCUUCUUGUUUGCCAUUGUUUUGUUUAUGAAAAAUCAGAUUUUUACUGUUACAAUUUUUUUGUUUCCCUUAUAAAUUUGAGUAUCAAUUGCUACCCUAAAGUUUUCAAUGCAUUUUCUUUACUGUCAAAAUUCUGAGAAAUUUGAUUUUAAUAUCUUCAGGAAACCGUUGAGUUUAUUGCUAUCUAUCCAGUUAACCAGUAGCUUAGGCUUGUAAGAAUAGGAUUUGAUCUUGAAUCUAUUAAAACAAAAAAUGCAUGAAACUAAGACCAAUGCGUUUGUUGUUAUUCUUUCUGGUGUAGUUGUUAAAAGAUGUCUCGGAGAUAUGAUAGCCGAACCACAAUCUUCUCUCCUGAAGGUCGUCUCUACCAAGUUGAGUACGCUAUGGAAGCCAUUGGAAACGCCGGUUCUGCAAUUGGAAUCUUAUCCAAAGACGGUGUCGUGUUGAUCGGUGAGAAGAAAGUCACCUCAAAGCUUCUUCAAACAUCAACCUCAACUGAGAAAAUGUACAAGAUCGAUGACCAUGUUGCCUGUGCCGUGGCCGGUAUAAUGUCUGACGCCAACAUACUCAUCAACACGGCUCGAGUCCAAGCUCAACGUUACACCUUCAUGUACCAAGAGCCCAUGCCAGUUGAGCAGCUGGUUCAAUCUCUCUGUGACACAAAGCAAGGCUACACACAGUUUGGUGGUCUUCGUCCGUUUGGAGUCUCGUUUCUUUUUGCAGGAUGGGACAAGAACUAUGGGUUCCAGCUAUAUAUGAGUGACCCGAGUGGUAACUAUGGUGGUUGGAAAGCUGCAGCCAUUGGAGCAAACAACCAGGCUGCUCAGUCUAUUCUGAAACAAGAUUACAAAGAUGAUGCAACCAGAGAAGAGGCGGUCCAGCUUGCUUUGAAGGUUCUGAGCAAGACGAUGGACAGUACGAGCUUGACAUCUGAGAAGCUAGAGCUUGCUGAGGUGUUUCUGACUCCUUCAGGGAAUGUUAAGUACCAUGUUCACUCGCCUGAUUCGCUCACCAAGCUGUUGCUGAAGCACGGUGUGACUCAACCCGCGGCUGAAUCAUCUUGAGAACUAAACUAUGGCCGAGUCUUAUCUCUGCUUGGUGCUGUGUCUCCUUUCUCUAUCUUUGUAGUUCUCUGUAUUACAUCUUUCCUUUUAGUUUGAACUUUGAAGUUAACUAUGGCGAUGAAACUGGAAAUUUUACAAUGUUAUGAAUUUAUCUGAAAGUAUUGGAGUUGAAGAUUUCAACUGUUAAUUGAAGUUUUGAUUUCGCUCAAAAAAUAUGUUUUGAUUUAGUUUUACGUAAACUCAAUUUGACUAUGAGAAUCUUGGAAUCACAAAAGAGUAACGUUUAAGGAAGAAAUAGAAACACAAUUCUGUAUAUUUUUUGGAGUUUCUCAUAACAUUUUGUUUGUGUGGAGAAGAACCUCGACAUCUCCAUUGAAAAGAUCCUUUUCCCUACACACCACUUUAAGCGGUAAACAAGAAAAGAUAAAUACUUUGAGAAAUAAGAAACAAAUUGUAAGUACAAUCCGACUCCUUAAGCUCUCUCUAUAACUCUUAUGUACAAAUAUAAGCUACACUACUAAUCAAGAACAGAGCUUAGGAAGCGAUCUGUUGCUUCCUCUGCUCGUGCUCUUGGAUCUCUUCUUGAUAACUUCCAUCUGAUUCUGCAUUUUCAAACACGCUCUCUCCAAUUCCAUUACCCUCCAUUGAAUCCCUUCAAUAUGUUCCUUCAACUUCUCAUUUUCUCCUGAAAUCUCCACCUUCUCCACAUGGAGUAUGAGCUGCUUCUGUUGUUGUUGUUGUUGUUCAUCUGGUGUCUCAAUCUCUUGAAACUUUGUGUUACGCGACAUGUGUGCUCUUGAUUCGAUUGAAAGCUUCUCGUAACUUAAUGUUCUUACCAAGCUGAGUUUCUCACCAUUGUUUAAUCCUGCGUGAGCCUGAACGAGCCAAAGAAUUUUUGUCAUUGGUAAAAAGACCAAAACUUUCUUUUACCUUAUGGAGUUUGAGAUGAUUAUUUGAAACGUACCUCGAGAUACAUAUCAAUAGCACGGUAGAUAUCUUCAUGAGAUUCUCGAGCUGAAUCUGGAAUGAGUGUGAGGAGAGAUAGAAACUUUGAAGAUUUCAAGCAAGGAUCAGGUGCUACUUCAGCUAUGUACUGAUCAAUCAAGCUCGCCACUUUCUUCAGUUGUGAUCCUCUUCUUGCUUCGUCGAGGAAAGCUUUUGUGAGUCUAAGAACGAGAUUCACAUAGUACAAGUGACUCGAUUUCAAUGGAGAUGGAACAAGAAGAUUGUCAAGUGUUACUUGAUCCAAUUGAUGACCAAUCAUAAGCUCUAGCUUGUUCAUACUGCCUUUGUUUAUGUUCAAUCCAAGAGCGAGCCUCAAAACCCCGAAAAGGCUCUUGCAAGGAACACAGCUUCGGUCUAACACGUAAAGCGUAUCAAUGGCGGUUUCAAGAAUCUUUCUUUUCUCAUUAGAAGACGCUGGGCAAAACUUGACCUUCUGGUAAUAAAACAAGAAUCUACUUAUGAUGAGAUUGUCAAAUUUCCGCGAGAUCAUCAGCUUCAAGAACAUUUCAGCCAAACGAGGACUUAGAACAAGAACCUCAUCGAACCACCAUGUUGACCGAGCAGAGCUAUUUUUGAAACUCUCUGUGCUUUUACUGUCACAAGAAAACCGAAACAAGCUGCUAUCUGGUGAACAAGCAGAAGCAGCACUAGAGGGACUCGUUUCAAUGGCUAAACACAGUUUCUCCACAAGCGCAUCCAUCAAUAUCGAGGCUAAAGGAUCUGCUUCAGGCGAUGUUUCAAGUUCUUGACACUGUUUCAAACCAAGAAGAACCUCUGGCCAAGCCCAAUAACGAAUCUCUUCCAUACACUUUUUUGUUUUUUGCAAGACUUUAGGGACUUCCAUGAACGUAGCAGCACAAUGCAAGAAGACUACAUUCGAAGGCAUCACAGUAAAAUGACCGUUGUUAUAGCAGAAUCUCGAUACAAGCUCGAAAGUUCCCGCUCCACCGGGGAAAUCAUUAAAGAUAACCUUGAGAUUACCAUUGGAACUAGUAGAUUUCCCAAGCAGUUUCCUGAAUGUUCCAGAAUACUUGCAUAUGAUUUGCUGAAAUCAAAACACAAAAUCCAAUAACCAAAAGUCAUAUGAUUGCAGAGUUAAGUAACAGAUUUGAUUUAAUCUUGAAAGACCCACAAGAAAAUAAAAGUUUAAACUUUAAGCCAUUUUACUGUUUGUGAAGGAAUUAAGUUAAAAAAAAUGAUGAACAGUUAUUACAAGUCGGGAUCGAAUUAAAUAUCAACUACAAAGACGUCUCUGUGUCUCUUCAAUCAUGUAAGUAAAAUGUCAAUCUCAUAGUCACAAGUGAGAACAAAAGGGAAGUGAAUAGUGUCCAAGCAAAUUGCAAAGAGAGCAACUUCUUAACAUCUUCUGAAAGAUUUAUCAUCCUAUUAAUGUGAAAUUUUUGUCGAUUUGCAUAAGAAUAUUGGAGAAAGUCAGAGGAAAGGUAAGAACAAAAAAUGCAAUAAAUGGUGAUGGAGACAUAAGAUCAAUGAGACUCAGAGACAAUCAGUUAUAGAUUUCUGAAUUAGUGAUUAGUUUCACAGGAAAAAAAGAAACUUGUGUGCCCUCGUUUUAAGGUAAUUCGGUGAUAGAACAUUAAAUGCUGAAUGUAGGAGAGUCACACACUAUACGUGAGCCAUAAUAUGUUCAUAGAAUCAAAACAAAAUACACACACAACAAAUGUCUUUAAAAUAUAGAUAAAAACCAGUUUUUUUUUACAGUUUUAGAUGGAGAAAUUAGAACCCAUAUGACCUUUUCUUAAAUCAACAUUCAAGGCAAGAAAACUAUAAGGAAAAAUCGGAGAGACCCAGAUAAGAAAAAGUGAGAUUAACAUUGAGAAACGGUUAAAGUUUGGAUUUUGAGCCUAAUUUAGUGUAUAGAGUCUGUUAUAGAGAGGAAGAAGACAGAGAGGGAGAGAGAGAGAGAAAGAGUUACCUUAUUGAGAAAGACAGUUUCUUCUCCGUUUAUGUCUACUUCAAGAACAGAGCAAGCUUCCAUAGCCAAAAACAAAAAAGAGAAAGAAACUAAACAACACCCAAAAACAAAUUUAUCAAGAGAACCCACUACGAGAACCAGAUUCUCUCUCUCGCUCUGUGUCUUAAUUUUCCCCAAAAGGAAAAGAGAGAAAAAGAAUGUGGUAAAAGAGGCGAGCAAGAGAGAGGGAGAAGAGGUGGAUUUAUGCUAAGAAGAGAAAGAAGACAAAGAGCAAAGGAGCAAGAAGUUUUUGUUGGUUUUCUGAUUGUCAGAUUUUAUAAGUCUUUUUUUCUUUUGAUGUCUGUCAAGUCAAUUGGUAAAGCACUCACAAAUUAGUGGUGGGUUUAUAUUUCUUCAUGGGAAGAAAAAAAAAAAAAAAUGGAAAAUUUAGAGAGAGAGAAAAGAGAGAGCAAGCAACAAAGGCGUGUCCAAACAAACGUCACUAUACUCCGUACACACUGUAUGUUGAGAUAUUAUAUGCAAAGAAACAAAUGAGAAGAGGGAGGAGAGGAGACCGACCUAUUCUGACAUUCUCUCUAAAGAAAAAAAAGAAGAGAAAGGAUAGUUUGUUUAUGUCGUACAAUAAUAUAAAGUUUUUCCAUAAUGUUACUUUGUUGGUAAGGGUUAUGACAACGCAAUUACCUUUUAAUCAGCUGAUCAAUCAGUAAUUAAUCAUUUCCUUUAUUUUCCAGGUAAUUAUAAUUAGUAUAAGCCAAAAUGGUGAAGCUUUCUAGGCCAUGUUCCUCUCUUUGUUCAUCAUGCUGAUUUUAUCUCUUUAAUCAAGUCUUUAUUUAUUUAUUUAUUUUGGAUAGUUGCAUCUCAUUCUCAUUAACCAAAGUAUAAUACCAAGUUACCAACCGCAUAACCGUAAAAAUAAAAUGGAAUUCUCACUUGUUAGCUGGAAUGUUGAUCAAUAACAAAAAAAAAUGAAGAAUAGAUUUGUUUAGUAACCAAAAAGUUACGAAUCUUAGACCGAAAAUUAAAUAAUGUUAAAUUAAUGCCAAUUUUGUGCUAUAAGAAACAUUCCAAUUGGGCUGAUUCUUUUUUAUAUCAAGACAGUAAUAUAUUAAUUUAAUUUUUUGUAAAAGGAUAUCAGUAAUGUUUUCAUGCAAGGGUGCUAUUUAUUUAUACGAAAGAUAGAGUCCACUAAGGCACUAACGAAAAGCCGUGGUCUAUAUAUAUAUUAUAGAUGCUUCACAUUAGAAGGUUUCAUUACUUUUUACGAAUAUUAUAAUAUUUUUUAUAAGCAAUUUUUUAAGGGCCAACCUUAAAAAUCUUUUUGCAAAGGUUAGCUCUUAUAUUUUGGAUUUUUUUUUUAUUAUUUUACUCAAAAUAUUCAUUAGCAACCCAAAUAAAAGAUGUGAAGGACUCUCAAUGGACAUGGUCUAAAUAUUAUGUCUUAACUAGUCAAUGCCGUAAAUAAAGUUUAAUUUAUAAUAGUAUAUAAACAAGAUUUGCUCUGACCAAAAAAAAAACAAGAUUUGCAAGGAGUCUCUCGAUUGGUGGAUGGUGAGUCUCUCAUAGUGGACAAUUCAUUCGAUUGUUACGUCCGAAAGCCAAUUUCCAAUAAUCGAAAAGCAUACUACUAUUUGUUUUCCAUUUGUCGAACUGUUCAUCAGCGAGUUUACCAAAAAUCCAAGAAAUAUGUUUGUAUUAACCAUUUAAAAAAAGACCUGAACAUUCGUCCCUAACGCAGGAUUUAUGAAAUACGACAAAUUUAAAAAUGUAUAAAUCGAAAUUUAAAAUUACGAAACUAAAGUUGUGUUUCUUUUUGUGACCAAUAGAUAGUGGAUCUUAACGUUACGUCCACGGUUAACACUAAAAUAAAUCUGAGUGAUCAUAACUUGUUUUAUUAGUAAGAAGUGAAGUUAAAAUAAUGGUAUAUUGGUAUUAUUAAAAGAAAAGUGAAACUAAAUCGAGAUGCAAUUUAUCAAAGAUACAUAACCCUGAAUAUUUAAAUUUUGUUGUUGAUGAUGACAUGCCCUGAUGGCUGAUGCACCUACGUAAUAUCAAUACCAUUAUACCAAUUACAUAUUAUAUCAAUUUUCACAAAUACAAACACAUGUAUAUUGUUACGUUAGAUGGCAUAACAAAUAAUGAAAAUCAACAUUUUCACUAAAAAAUAAUGAAAAUCCUCUAUUCAGGGGAAAAAGUUUAGGGAAGAAAGAAUAAUAAUAACAAGAAAAUAGUUUUUAAGGGAAUCGCACUUGCCUUUCUCUCUCUUCCUUAUCCUCUCCCUUCUCUCUUUAAACAAAAAAGUAGAUCUCGUCUAUCUGGUUCAUUUUCCGGCGCCGGUGGCUCCCUUAGCACCGGCGCCGGACCUCCUCCUUUAGUUUUGUCUUGUUUCCUGUCUCUCUUUCCUUCAAGGUCCGUCGGAGCUGGUUGAGCUGUGAAGAGAGUCUCGGUGGUGGUCCUUGCGCGACGGCGGCGCAGGCUCCACGGGGUCGUGGUGUCUGCGGUGGAGGAGGGGCGUUUCCUCUGUGGCUGCUGCUCCUUUCCUCUUCCGCCUCGUCUUCCUGCCCAGAUCUGCUUUUCCCUUUCUUUUUCCAGCGUUUUUGAAAAGACGGUUUCCUCGGUGAGCUUCUCUGUCGGUGGUGGCGUGCUCGCUAUCUUUAGCGUGGUUGGGUGGUCUUCCUCUCCUCCCGUUUUGGUCCCUCUCUGCCUCUGGUUGUAAAUCGGUGUCCCCUUGGCAGUUGAGUGGUGGCGCCUUUACAUGAGUCAUCUUCGUCUUCGGCGACGACAAAUCGGACUUUGAGGACGGGUCCUAAGUCCGGCAAAGGUGUCAUUGGUUACUCUUGUCUUGUGUGGCUCAGCGUGGUGGCUCGCGUCUCUCCCGCCUUGCGUGGCUCCACCUUCGGUGUCUCCCUGCGAUGGCUCAAGGCGGGUGGCUCAGCGGUAGUUUCUUGCAGCUCUUUUGGCGGUGAAGCUCCGGUGCCGUCUUCCAUCGGUGUGGCCAGGUUUCUCCGGCGGUGUGUGUUCCCAACCAAGGUGCGGUAGCUUUGCGUUUGUGCUUAAGGUCUUGGCUUGUGUUGGCUCCGGCGAUGUCUGGUGUUGAUUGUGGAGCAACUCUAGACGUGAGAUGUUGAGGUGCCGAUAUGUUGUGGCGGCUAGCGUGUAGCUGUGGGGGCUGGUUCUUGAGGAGAUUCGUUCUUUUUGGGAAUGGCGGUUGGAGGUGACUCUUCAAUUGCCCGCUCGGGCUCCCUUGUCGACAGAUGCAUGUUAGUCCGUUAUGGAUUUCGGAAAUCCUGUUAGUUUUUGGAGAAGCUGUAGGCGUUUUUCCCGGAGGUUUGAGGGCUGGCCUCACGGAUGUGAUGCUCGUGGCAACAAGGAUAAGAAUUCUAGCUCUUUUGAACUAUGGCAAAAAUAGGAUGGUCCGUGUUUCGGCGUGAGAUUGCUGCUUUCGUGUUUGGUUUUGCUUUUAACCGUUUUCUUAGCCUUCGUGUCUGCUAUAUCUUGGUUGUGGUUUUAUUGUCUGUAAUUUUUUUUUCGGUUAAUCUGUUUUCUUUGUAUUCUCUGUAAUUCUGUGAAAAAUUCGAAAAUGGUAAUAAAAUCUUAAUAUUUUUACCAAAAAAAGAAAAUAAUCUUUAAAAAAAAACAAGAAAAUGGUUGUUUAAUAAACGGGCCACAGCCCGCCACAACAGAAAAGAUAGAGUGUGAUGUGAUUUUUUUAACGAAAAUAAAAGUGUGACUGUGUGUGUGUGAGGUGUUCAACUGCUCAUGCACCGAAGCUCCUAACGUGGUGGACAAAAAAAAGCCAUGGAACGGGGAUCACGUGAGUUUAUUUAUCUGACGCUUUUACCCCUCAGUAAAAGGUACUAUUAUCAAAUAAUGGCGUUUCUGGCCCAUUAAGUGCCCAAUAGCGAGCCAUUUAUUGUUUAAAUAAACAAAUACUGCUCACGUGAUGUAGAAGUUAGAACAUAAUAAAGGGGAUAAUUGCAGUUAUACCUUCUUGUGUAUCUAAAGUAAUCGCAUCUUAGACCUUGUGGAAUUACCUGUUCUUCUACUUUCUAGUGACAGUCUUGUGCACCAACCCGUGGCAACAAAGAAAAUGCAUGCUUCAACAAUGAGCUUUAGCCAUUGGAAGCAGUGAGAAACUAGCAUUUGGAGGCAUUAUGAAACAAUAAAUGUUACACAACAUGAGUUGGUGGUUGAGAAGAAGGAAGAAGUCAGCAUCUAAUCGGUUCCGAAUUUCCGAUGGAGACAUGAAUCUUUGUUUUUUUGUAUAUUUUAUCUUUUUAGGAUAACCUAAUUCCAACUCAGGAAAAAAAAGGUUUUUUGGUUACGUUUUAGUGACGUUAUUUUGGUAUUACUACACAAUAAAACAGUAAAAAAUUGGGUUUUCAGCAAAUUUUUUGGUUUUUAUUUUUAUUUGUUUGCUCGCAAUUCUUGGUUAUUAGACAGUGAAUUCUGAAGUUUCAGAUUAUGGCUCGUAAAAUUGAGAAGUCGUUAAGAAAAUGUGAUUUUUAAAAGUUGUCCAGACAGGUUUCACAUGGUACCAGUUAUUGGUGUUGGAGUACGAAUUGACCAUUUUUCCAAGAUAAUUGCACUUAUACCAUUUGUAUAUCAGAGAAGAAAUAAAUAAACCCAUCAACUACUAUACUUUAUAAAUUCAUUUUCAAAAAUUCUUAAUCCACUUAAUAGAGCAAUAUACCAACGGAACUAUAUAUGAAACCACCAAUGCGCAUAACAAUGACUGACAAUUUUGUUGUCAAGUUAAACUGAUAUUAAUCCGUGCAUUGGUCCACUAGUAUUAGUUCUUUUUUCUUUUUAGAGAUUUGGAUCACUUGGGUUCAAGUCAUUUCCUCUCCUACCUUUUGCUUGAAAUUGUUGUGGAGGGAUUCCUGAUUUUGUUCCUUUUAUAGAUUAAUGAUUAUCACUGAAACGUAGGGAUAAUCAUUGGCACCAACCUAAAUGUUAAAUGCAGAUAUAUAUGUAUAUUAUAUUUUAUAUAUAACACUAGUAAUAAAGGGAUUCCACUUGUAAUUAGUUGUUCAUGUAUAUCUUGCAUGAUUCUAUUUAACUCCGUAUUGGAGAUGCUGGAUUUAAAUCAAGGUGGUGCUGGACAGUGCCAAAGCAGAGACCAUCGAGUUAUAUAGUCCCUAGAGAAAUUUCAAUUGUUAUAACUUAUAAACAUAGUCUUAAUAGCUCGUAAUAUGUAGUUAUGUGGGUAAUUAUACUAAGUUUAAACUUUUUUAUCAAAAAUUUUGGGAAAAUUGCAUAUUUGUUUCCUUUAUUUUUUAAACUAGAUAAAAUGCAUUUCGAGAACACCUUUUUCAAAUGCGAAAUGAUACCUAAAUCGUCGAUCACAGAUGAUUAUAUAUUGCUAAAUUAAGUGGGCCUAUUGGGCCAAUCCGAAACAAUCAUUACAUCCGGGUUAAAAUAUAAUUUUUGCCCCCAUGUCUUUAAAAUGCGUUAAAGUUAUUCGUAGUUUCGUAUGGAUUACGGAUUACGUAAUUUUUGUCGCCAUGUCUUUAAAAUGCGCUAAAUUUCAUGUAAUUUACUAUGCCUUCACAUUCUCCGGUUGAUAAACAACGAAUUCUUCAAAAAAACUUAGAACAUUAUGACUGAAAUUGAAAAUGGUGAGCGAAUAAAAUUAAAAAAAAAAAACUGUAAAAUGGCUUGAACACUUGUUUACGUCAGAGAUAUUUUUGCAAGGUGAACCGAAACAUGGGUUUUGAAUAAGCUCUAUACGUAUUAAAAAAAAAAAAAGGUGAACUUUUUGAGACUGCUGAGGGCUGACCUUAAUCACCCUCCCUGACCCUCACAGGUCACACACUCUUUACAUGGAGACCUCGUUUUCUCAUAUCACUGACUUAAACAUAUUUUUGUUUGUUAAGAAGUUCAUAAUGGGAUUCGUUCAAACAUCACAGUCCCAAGCUGGGAUUCAUUACUUGGCUGGCACUACGGAACCCUCAAAACCGAUUAAGAUAUUGGAACCCAAACAUCUCUACAACAUGUGUGCUCUGUCAGGAGCCUGUUGAAACUGUUUCCCACUUGUUCUUUUCAUGUCUUUUCUCGAACAAGAUCUGGACAAAUUUAACAAAAGAACUACUGCUUCAAGAGUUCUCUACGGAUUGGCAAUUUCUGGUCACUCUGAUCUCGAGACCACAACAUCAUCAGGUGAAGGGUUUCAUCACUCGAUACCUGGUUCAACUGACUGUUUACACAAUAUGGAGAGAAAGAAAUGAUAGAAAACAUGACCUAUCUCUUUUGGAGUGGAAAAGGCUUGUCAAAAUCAUCGAUAAGGGUCUCAGAAAUCGAUUGAGCUCAAUCAGAUUGCUUGGUGACAAAAAAUACGAGUGUCAUUCAAAUGUGGUUCGCUUCAAGAUCGAACGACUAACUAGCUAAAAGAGUUCUAAAAUGAUGUAAAAUAGCUUAGGAAAUAUUUUCCAUUCAUGCUCGCAUCCAAGAUAUAGAAAUUUUUUUUGUUAGAAUAAAUUUAACAUUCAUCCAAAAAAAAAUUUCAUAAUACCCAUAAUAUAUAUUCUUCUUAAUGCCCAUAAUAUUCGGGCCAGGGACCGAGCCUGGUAAAUUUAGUUAAUUCAGUCCCCUGGAAAAAAUAAGGUACCAGGAUACUCUUGCACUUGUGGUUUAGGGGGUUAUUUAACCACUUUUCUUUAUCUCUUUGUUUUUCUCUCUUUCCUUUCAACGGAUACUCUUGCACAGUUUAGAUUUUAGAAGUUGCUAAAGCUCUUUUUUUUCUUUCUCAUGAAUUGUAAUCGUCCACUCUAUUUUCCCCCGAUACUACUAGUUCUUAUAUUGGGAAAAAAAUCGAAGCACCAUGUUAACUCUAUUUUCGGAAAUUUAUUUAGUGUUUGAACAAUUUCUCUACUCUGUCGCUGUCACACGACUAUAGUGAUGAAAAAAGAAACAAUUUACGAGGAAAGCUUUGGCACUUGGCAGUCACGCUUGAAGAUGACACGUGUAAAGCUGAGAGGUGGUACGCCUCCAAAAAUACCUUUUGUGCAGCAAAAGAGAAAAAAAAAAAAACAUCUUUACGAUGGCAAAAAUCCGUAAAAUCAGAAUUUGUUUCACUACCCAACAAAUAUUCCUGUCUCCGAGAUCGUUUGUCAUCCUCAUCGUAGCCGUCUUUCUCUCUCUCUCUCUCUGAAAAUGGAGUACGAGUCGCUCUCCGAGUUACCGCCUCUUCCUCAAGAGCUCGAAUCCAUGGAGUAUUCAUAUUCAACACACUUUCCUUACGCCAUUAAUCCUCUCGAGUCUCUACCUCCUUUUCCUUCUUCCGAUUUCGCUCCCUACUACGGCGGAUUCACCUUCUCCGACCAACAUGGCCUUCUCCACCUCCAGGAACACGUGGCAGCUGACUCACUCUUCCUCGACUCGUCUCUGUCUCUACUCACUGAGUCAACUCGGUUAGAGAAGUUCUUCUCCGACGACGAACCGUUUCUCCACUUGCCUCACCUCAAAUCCUUCGAGAAGACGACAACAACCGCCGUCGCUGACGAUACGAAACCGCCGUUUCUCUCCCUCGCUCCUCCUCUUCCCGACGAGAAACUUCGCCGUCGUCGCUCGGUAGUCAAACGCACCUUCACCAUCUCUCCGUCGCCGCAGUCUUCCUACUCGAAAUCCAGAUCUCCGGCGACGUCGUCUUCGUCGUUCUCUCAGUCGACGUACGGUGGCGACAGGCGAAGGAGGGUCUCGGAUAAAAUCAGGUCUCUGGAGAAGCUAAUGCCGUGGGAGAGUAAAAUGAGUUUGGCUAAGAUUCUCGACGAGGCUCACAAGUACGUCAAGUUUCUCCAGUCUCAGAUCGCUUCUCUCCGUUGGAUGCCUCUCGAAUCCGUCUACUGCACCGCCGCCGGAGAAGUCGGAGAAGAAGUCGGAGGAGGAGGAGUCACCGAUCCGCUCAAAUCCUUGACGAGGCAACAGAUUCUACAGGUGCUCGCGAAUUCUCCUGGAGCAAGAACUCAGCUUUACACUCGCGGAGUUUGUGUUUUCUCGUAUGAACAGCUUCUUUCUGUCGAGAUGAUGGCUCAAUCGGCAAGAAACCUCUGAAAAAAAAAAAAUGAAAACAAACAAUCCCAAGUUUUUCGUACUCUGUUUUCGUUUUCUGUUCUUCUUUUUUGAUCAUAGAAGCUACAUAUCGUUUCUAAUGGCUAGUGAAAAUCAGAGUUUGAUAUAGUUAGUAUUAAGCCAUUUUGCUUUUGAUUUUUCAGGUUUUUCCAAUCAUCUUUUGCAACAUUGUACAAAAAUCUCGGAUAUCUUUGAACAACUAUAUGAUCUUGACUGUGAAUUUUUUUUUGUUUGGCUCGUUUGAUCAUCUUCUUCCAUAGAUAUCUUCCAAUACCAAACAUAAACGAUUUCAUCGAAAAGCAUUCCGAGGACAAAAGCCACACCAAGUCACCAACAAUAUCAUAAAAGGUUCCCACAAAGAUUCAAUGUUUUUUCAAAAAAAGACGAUUUCAAACAAAACCAGAAAGCAAAUCAAUUUGCGGAUUUCAUUGCGGUGAUGGCAGAAGCAACGAGCUCACACUUUUUGCUGAACAGCUCGAGAUACAUGAUAGACAAAGCCUUGACUCUCUCAUUCAACUCUUUGGCCUUCUCAUCACCAAUAAGCUUGGCUCUCUCAAAUGCAAAGUAUUCAGGAAUCAAACCUUCAGCGACAAUGGUGCUCAGAAAACUCUUCAGAUAAGGAUACUGCACCCAAAACCUCUCCUUCUCGCUACGAUCACGCUCAGUUUCUGUAACAUCAGCAACGGAAAAACACAGAUUCAGAGAUGAAUAGUCAAAUACUCUCUUAAUCACUACUAUAACGCAUUUCAGAACGUUGAUAUGAACCUUGAUUCUCCGAUUAAACAGGAUUUUCCAUGAUUAAUCUCGUAAAUUAGCAUCAGUUUUUUUCCAGAUUUAAACGCAACAAGCUUAAAACCUCUUAGAACAGGACACACCAUAAGGAUUUUCUUAACGAUCGCGCGAGCUUGAUAAGAGUAGUAAACGGUGAAAACCUGAGAUAGAAGGAGAUAGAGUGAAAUCUGUACCUCUUCCGUUGGCGAUUUCCGAAUUCGACGUUUCGUCUUCCGAUGGUUCGUCUUCCAUGGAUUCGUCUUCCGAUGAAUAGGAAAUUUCGGAGUCGCUGAAGUCUUCAUCGGAUGAUUCGGCGUUGUUGAGGAGAUCGAUCGGAACCGCCAUCGUCGUGGAGAGUUUUGAGCUCGAAGUGAUUUUACAGUUUUCUAGAGAGACUUGAGGAGAAACGAAGAGUCUGAUUUUGAAGGAAGUGAAAUAAUAGUGAAGCAUAAAGAAAAAUGGGAGAGAUAACAGAAAUUGAUUUAAAUUGUGAAUUUUUUUUUUUCUAAUUUGUCCAGUUGACAUUAAUUCAACCGGUUCUGAUUUUGAACCAAAAUGAAAACCAAACUAAACCGAAACAUGAACAAAAUUUAACGCAACCCGGAAUUCGCAGCUCUCAAUUAAAGAGAGUCAUUUUGAUGAUUUUUGUUUGUUUGGACAAACCAAAGCUAAAUAAAUUUAAAUAAAUUUUUUAAGUAAUUAAGAUAAAAGCUAGAAUCUGAAUAAAACAUAAUUAACUGUUAAUGAGAGGACUAAUUAAUGAUGUUUUGUUGAUCUUCAUGCAGAGUAUUUGGUGGUAGAAACAACUUCAAAUUCGAUCUCCACUUUCAAAGAUCCUUCUUUGUCCAAGUAAGCCUUCUCAACUUGAGCUUUAGGAGUGAUUAUCCAAGCAAAACCUUGGGAGGGGUUGUAACAGUUGUAGUUAACUGCAAUAAAACAGAAUGUAAUCUCUAAUAAAUUAUGAAUAUACAUUACAGUAUCUAUCUAAUCUCAUCAAGUAGUAAUCACUUAGUUUAAAAAAAAAAAGUGAAUGUUAUAUUGUUACGAAGACUUACUCUUCCCUGCCAAGUGUCUGGAUCCAAAUGGAUCGAGAAUUUGCAACUCCCCUCGGAUGUAAAUAAUCUCACCUGCCUUGAUUGUUUCACCAUCAGCAAGAUACAGAUAGAUGGAUAGUGACUUGCAAUAUGUAGUAGAGUGGCCCUUAGGAAACAACUUUAACACCCUACAAAAAAAAAACAUUUGCAUACAUUGUUAAAACAUAAUGAUCUAAUACUAUAUUCCAGACACAAACUGUUGUAUAGCAAUACUAGGGAUUAAUUACUCACCAAUUCCUUCUUCCAAUCAAGAACUUGUCUGAUACGUAGCAAUGAUCUUUCAACUUGGAGAAUUUGUUGACAACUUGGUAUUAGAGGGUUUCUGAGAAAAGGAGACAACUUCCCAAUUUGUAAGUGGAACCAUCACAUCAACACCAAACUCGCAUUGAUCUCCAUCGAAAACAUAUCCGUUUUUAGGAUCAUUGAAUGUAUCAAGCGGAAGCACUUGCAGAAACCCCCACACCGGUCUUAAUGCAUUGAACUGCUUCCCUUCAACAUCUGAUGUUACAUAUACAACUCUCAUAAAUAAACACACAUAUAUAAACAUAUAUAAGUGAAUGGAAGAUAUAAAGAGGGCACGAACCUUUAAUAGUAUAGUAUUUAUUUUCCUUCUUGUUGUAGAUGAAGAAGGUGAUGUAUGCCAAAACUGUGGACGUGGCGACGCUUGUACUAUCAAAUUCCACGUACAUGGAUAUAAAUCCGGUCCCAUUGUCCUUCUCGUUCCCUUUUGGAUAUAUAACCAAUCUCCUGAUAUUACUCAAGGAUGAAAAAAUUAGUUUACUUUCUUAUAAGAAAUUUGUAUAUAUAUAUAUAUAAUAUCCAAUUAAAUUACAAGAGUAAAUUACCAGUUGUAUUUGCCGGAAGAGAAUGUACGUGAUUUGUAUCCGUCAUUACCAGAGAGGAGAGUCUGGAGUUGAGAGAUACUUUGGAUUUUCAUAGAAUAGGUACUAGGAGGACGAUCUCCAAACUUGCUCGUAAUUGUAGAAUCUGAUACGACGCAUGACUCUUCUGCUUUAAACAUUCUGUUGCUGCUUAUUCGAAAUAGAGAGAGAAUUAUAACAAGAAGGCAACGAUAUGAUGAUUAAUCGUGUUUCCUUAUAUAUUAAGCGUAACCGAGACAAAACCUACUAUGAAAAGGAGUUACUAGGACAGCACAAAAUAUCCGUUAGAUUUGCUUCGAUUCUAUCCAAAAAAUUCGGAUAUCUGUAAUUUUAUGGAAAAAAUCAAAUAUUAAAAUUCAAUAUCUGUUAAAAACGGAGCAAAUCGCAAAUACUAAAAAAAAAUUAAGACAGAUAUCCGCUCUACUCCAGUAUAAAUAUAUAUGUAUACGUAGAUAGAUAAUAAUUUAUAUAAUUUAUAUAAUUAUUAUAUACAGAUGUAAUUUUUGUGAAUUUUUGUUGAUAAAUUUGAUUAUUAUAAAUAUUAAAGCUUAAUAAGUUAAGAAAAAAAUAUUUUUAAAGAAAAUAUUUAGUCAUUUUGGCUAAAUUUUGAAAUUUUUUAUUUUAAAUAUAUUAUUAUUAAACAUAUUUAUAGAGCGGAUUGGAUAUCCGACAAAUAUUGGAUUUUUGGUGAAUAUCCGAAAAACGGAUAUCCAGAUAAUUACGAAAUGGAUAUAAAUAAAAAAAUAAUAAUCCAAAUAGAACGAAACGGAUCACGGAUAUCCAAAAUCCAAGAUAUCCGUUUCGCACUCAAUCCUAAAAGUUACAUACGUUUUUGUUUGUUUCUUAGUGGGAUAGUUAGAGCAAGUGCAACGGAGUAUUUAAGCAGCGUCUCUCCUAUUUUUAGGCUAAUUAAUUAAAUGAAAAACAAAAAAAUAGUGAGAGACGUUUCUAAAUUUGGAGCUAGGAGAAACGUCUUUCGAGCUGCACGUGUCAAAAACUCAUUGGUCAAAAAAACAAGAAGAAAAAAAUUAUGUUUUGGGUAGUCAUUCUUUUUUUUUUUACCCGACAAAAUUUUUUCUCUCCUUUCUUCGUUCUCUCUGUCGAACCGCGACUCAUCGAUUCCAUCGGGAUUCUUCGUCGCCGAGUGUUUCAGACGGAGGUGGCGAUGUCUUCUCAUCAUCCACUUGGUGGAAUCGACGAGUAUGGAUGGAUUAAAGCUUCGAGAUCCUUGUUUUCCUCGCGAAGGUAAGCGAAGAGUCUCGUCAAUUUGUUUAGAUUUUUGGGUUUAGAUUCUAUGUCUCCGAUGAUAUGGUUGAAUAAAAAGGUUUAGAGGUAUCGUUUUUUUUGUUAAUUACCAAUGCUGAGUGCUUUGUCCACCAGGUGUUCGUUAUAAUUCCUGCAUGAGUUUCAUUUGUUCAUGAAUCUAUGAAAUAGUGAGACUUAUCGACUUUUUUAUAAUUGAAUGGUGAUUGUUGGAGUAUCAGCUCUAGUUGAUUUUUGGUUACUGUUUACGUAAACCAUUGUCAAUAUCAACUGAUCUUUUGUUUUGUUUUGUGGUUUAUAUGGUUGCAGGAGAGGAGAACAAGUACGAAACUAUGACUAUUAUCACUACCUCUGUCUACUUGAGCUCCCACCCGAGAUGCGUAAAGCCGCAUUUGCGCUCCGAGCUUUCAACGUGGAAACCGCAAGAGCCAUGGAUGUUGCAUCUGAUCCCAAAAUCGGCUUGAUGCGUUUACUUUGGUGGCAAGAAACAAUCGACAAGCUCUACACCAAAAAACCCAUAAACCACUCCACUGCACAAGCUCUGUCUUGGGCCAUAUCAGAGCACAACAUCAGUAAACCUUGGCUAAAACGCUCAGUUGAAGCUAGAAUCCGUGAUGCUCAAAGAGAAGUUGAGGAUCAACAGCAGCGGAUCAUGCAGCUUCACACAUCGGUAAAGCCAGUGGUCUUGUCUUGCUACUGAAAUCGUUACCGUUACAUCCUGCGAAUCUCACUGAGAAACACGGGUUGUUUGUGAAACAAGGAGGACGAUCAGAUAUCCUUCUGGAUAUGAGCUCAAGAGAAAGACUGUGCAAUGUAGUGUUUGAGAUUGCAUCUGUUGCCAAUGUACAUCUCUUGAUAGCCCCUGACUUGCGGGAAAAGUUCCUGCAGAGGCUAAACCGGUCCUGCUUCAUUUUGUGCCGGUACAAGUUCUUCUUGAUUCGUUAAGUGUUUCUUGUUGUUUCUCCACUUUGGUUUCAGUUUGGUAUUCAUGGAGAGCUAUGUUCUGAAAACAUUUGUCUUCUCCUCAGGCUUGAUUGCCUUUUUUCUGGUUUCAAAAACAUUAUUACAUUAAACUUCUACACUCUUUGUAUUUUUACAAAUGGUGAAAUAAAAGAAUUUUUCCCCUAAUUCUUUCAUGUAAUAUACAGUUUAAUAAAAUAAAAACUGAAAAUUUAUGUAAUAAUGUAUGUUUUAUUUGUUGUAAUGCUUUUUUAUUAAGUCUGUAUUAAUAAAAUUAUUAUUAUAAGUUUUUUAUAAAAGUUUGUAUUAAUGUUUUUGUAUUAAGUCUGUAUUAAUAAAAUUAUUAUUAUAAGUUUUUUAUAAAAGUUUGUAUUAAUGUUUUGUAUUAAGUCUGUAUUAAUAAAAGUUUUUAUUAUAAAUCCUUCUUUAAAAUAAAUUAUUAUUAUAAACUUUUUUUAGAAAUCUAAUUGGAUUUCUCCUAUUGCACUUUCUAAAAAUGCAAGUUUUUUAAUUGGGUCUCUAAACACAUCUUAAUAAUAUAAAAAUGAUUAAGAGAUUCAUGAAGAUCUCUCCCAUUGCACAUGCCUUUAGGGUUUUGGCGAGUACUAAGGGCAUAAUUAUCGCAGGUACCUAUUAAGGGUACUAAUAUUUUGGGCCCAAAAGAAAAAGAAAAAACCAAAAAAAAAAAGCAUCGAUUAUUCUUUUAGUACUUCAAGUAUCGAUACUUGAUGGUUGCUCAAGACAGGUGUCCAUUUGUGAUUGGUACAAAAAUAAUGGCAUUUUUUUUUUCUGAGCUUUCUUUUCCUUAAACUUAUUUUUUCUCUGAGUUUCUUUUUUUAAGUACUCCAUUUUGAGAUUUUGCAAUAAACUUAUUCUUGUGUAAGAUUCUUAUUCAAAGUUCUUAUUUUAAAUUUAAUAAUAAAUUAAUAAUUAAGUACUUCUUAGAGGUGCUUGCAAUAAACAUGGUCUAAUAGUAAAUCUUAGUAAAUAGCAAAUAGUAAAUAUUAUUAAAUAGCAAAACCUUUAUAUACAGAAAGGAAAAUUAACAAUUUUAAUAGUUGUACUAAUAUGAAAAGGAAAACCUAUAUAUGUUAGACUCGAUCAAAGAUUGAUCUUUAUCAGGAACUCUUUUUUUUUCUUCAUAGAACUUUCUAUACUAGUUUGGUUAGUAAGUCUGCCAGGAACCCUAAGUUUUCUCUCUCUCCCUCGUUUUUUUUUCUUUCUUUUUUCCUUUUCAACUUUCGUCUUUAUCGCUAAGUGUCUCUCUCGUUCACUAUAUUUUAUCAAAAUCUUCCGAUUCCAUAGGGUUUAUCGAGGAUGAGCAACAAAGACUUGAAUGCAGCGACGUCUUCUUUUAGAGAACAUCCUCCUUCCACAUAUUCCAUCAAGUUUGAGAAUCUCAGACAACUCGAUGACAAAUACGAAUCUCGUCUUUUCGCGGCCGGCGGGUACAAUUGGUAUGCAUACUUACAUACCAUCCAACUCUUUUUCAAUAAUUGUGUACUUAAGUUAGUACUCUGUAAUAUUUAAUCUGACUUGUGAUUUUAUUGAUCUAUUUGUGGUUUGGUUGAUAUAGUAUACUCACAACUAUGUCAUGACGCUCAAAGAAAUUCUUCAUCAUUGUAUGGAAAUCGAUAUUUCCUUGCCUAAAUAAUGUUGUUCGUAACGAAUGUUUUUAGGAGAUUGGUCAUAUAUCCAAAAGGAAACACAAAAGACGAAGGGAGUGGAUUUAUCUCAAUGUAUGUGGAAAUAGAUAGCAAAAAUCUCAUGACAACACCACUAACUCAGGUGUAUGCAUAUCUCAUAUUCUUUGUCUACAACAAGAAAACAGACAAAUACUUUACUAUUAAAGGUUUGUAUAUAAUUCACAUAUACAAUGCUGGUCACAUUCUUGUUCAAAAUAUUUAUAUAGUUAAUACAUUUACUUCUCUUUGUCUCUAUUCAUCAACAAUUAAUACAUAUAAUGUAUUUACUGUUAUAGAUACAAACGUGAAGCGGUUCAAUGCACUGAGAAAAGUGUGGGGAUUGUCUCAAGUGCUUCCGCUUGAAACAUUCAAUGAUCCUAAAAACGGAUAUAUCUCUGAGGGAGAUCAUUGCGAGUUUGGUGUUGAUUUUUUGGUUGCUCCACCCCUUACCAAUUGGGAAGUCGUCUCCUUUGAUCAGAAACAUCCCAAUUUUAAGUUCUCUUGGACUCUCAAGAAAUUCACUGAGUUGGAAGAGUAUCUUUACGCAUCAAACAGGUUUUCAAUAGCAGGCCGAGAAUGGUGAGGACUGAGGAGUCUAAGAUUGUUUUUAUGUUUCUUAUUAUAAUAUAUGCAUCUAUAUGAGUGUUAACAAGUGUUAAAACGAUUCUAUAGGGUUUAAAACGAUUCUAUAGGGUUUAAAACUGUAUCCUAAGGGCAAUACUCAUGCAGAAGGUAAAUGGGUGUCCAUGUUCCUGCGUCUAAUUGACAGCAAGGGACUUAACGCAGAUGAGAGAAUCUACAUCCUAGCACGUGGUAGACUUCUAGAUCCUCAUGGAUCCAAUCACAUAGAUAGGAAACGUAAGUACUAAAACACUGUUCCAUCAUUAUCUUAUUGUUUUACCCGUCAUUAAUCUAAUGCUGAAACUAUUUCUAAAUAAUGAUCAUUUAAUUAGUGUUCUUCUUCAUCUGUUGAUGAUGACCAUUUUUAUUAUUAGUCUACAUAUGGAUGGCUAAUAUGCAUCUUUACUUAUAUAUUUCACUUUUCUUGCAGUCAAAAUCUGGUAUACAAAGGAAAACAAAGGCUAUGGUUGGAGUAAAUUUGGGCGUUUAGAUAAAAUUCGGAAGGCUUACUUGGACAAAGAGGGAUCUUUGAAGGUAGAGAUUGAAAUUGUAGUUGUUUCUACCACCAAAUACUCUCCUAGCAUCUAAAGCUCUGCUUUACAAAAAUCCAUUAUCUACCAUCCAUCUAUUAUGAUUAUAAAUAGUUAAAUACAAUACAAUGCAAUGUUUUAGUCUUUUAUUAAUGGAUUUGCUUUCUUGUUUUGUAUUAUUUAUAUCCAUUUCCUUUACUGAUAUUUUCAUUUUUUAUUUUUCGUUUUUAAUUUAAGUUUUUGUUUAUAGUUUUGUAAUACAAAAAGGAAUACAUGAAUCGUACGUAGAUAAAUUUAAUUUGAUUUGUUUAAUCACCAAUUUCGUUUUCAAACAUACAGAAUCUUCACUUGUGAUUUUUCCUAGUCUUUCUUCUAAAUCGGAUUACUACUCUUGUUGUCAAUGGCAUUUCUUGUGCAUCAUCUUUUUUUUUUUUUUAAGUACAACCGAUUUGAGACUUUCACUAAUAAUUACGCAUUCCUACUAGACUACCUUUUGAGUAAAACAAAAAUGGUGUUGAAUCUGAAUUGAUUAAAAACCAAAAGAGUGUUCUUUACACCAAAUAAAUUGUACAAGUCAAAGUAAAUUAAGAGCCGAAUGCACAUACGAUACUCAUACGAAGAAGGAAUUAACCUUGAUGAUGUUUUCUGAAUAUGGUCAUUGGUUUGGUUGCAAAGAAAUCUAUUUUAAUGAAAGAAAAAAAACAAUUACAGCCAGCCCACCAUUCUCCCAUGUUCUUUUGUGGGUUUUGGCCCAAUACAUCAAUGGAAACUGAUCUACCCAAUUAGAAACAACAGAGAGAAUUUCUACCGAUAGGUCAAAGUCGUCGAGAAGAGGAAGCGUUAGAGUCUGAAGGUAUACUUCUAGGGUUAGGGUUUACUUGUUAACAGUUAAGAGGUCUCGAUUGUCUUUUUGAUUCUGGUUCUCUGUCUCUCUCACCGCUUCAGGUUUGUAUUACUUCUCUCAAAUCGUUUUCGUUUCUCUUGUUCUUUUUUUUCUUUCUCUAUUUGGUUGAACACUCGUAUAGAAUGUUUCCGCUGUUAUCUCCUUAUAAUUAUAACUAUUAACAAUCAAUAUCUUGGUUGUUUUUUGUUGGUUUGAUCAGCAAGGAUGGUCGUUACGGUUUCGGAUGAUGAUGCAUCGUCGUUGUGUUCCUUCGCAUUAGAUGCUACAACUUCGCAGAACUUCUGGUCAGAACGUCCUCAUUCUUCGUAUUCACUCAAAAUCCAGAAUCUCGCACAGCUCAUCGGUGAAAAAUACCAAUCUCGUCGUUUCUUAGUAGAUGACUACAACUGGUACUUUACUUAAUUAAUAUUCAUUGGUGAUUUAUCUUAACCAUUACCUUAGAUAUGUUUACGAAUAGAAAGCAACUUGUUUUUGCAAAAAUUUAGGAGAUUGAUUAUAUAUCCAAAAGGGAAUGAAAAGGACAAUGGAAGUGGAUUUAUUUCGAUGUUCGUUGAAAUAGACAGCACAACUGAGGCGUUAGCAUAUCUCACCUUCUUUGUCUAUAACAAGAAAGUAAACAAAUACUUUUGUUUUCAAGGUACGUAUGUACAAUUUCCUAUUAAUUCUAUCUAGUGUCCACUUCAUAUAUUUCGCAUAUAAUUAGUCAACUAUAUCAGUAAAUCCCUUUCUUGUUACUACAUCUACAUUAAUUUGCCAUAUAUAGAUUUAUAGUACACGCACACACACACUAACACUCGAUCCUUACAGAUACAGAAGUAAAGCGGUUUAAUGCAUUGAAGAAAGUUUGGGGAGUUUCUCAAAUGCUUCCGGUUGAGAUAUUCAAUGAUCCUAAAAAUGGAUACAUCUUUGAUGAAGAUCAAUGCGAAUUUGGUGUUGAUGUGAUGCUUGAUUAUCCCCUUACCAACUGGGAAGUAGUCUCUUUUAAUGAUAAGCUCCAUUUUCCCAAAUUCUCCUGGAGUGUCAAGCAUUUCACAACGCUGAGAGAUAAAGUUUACGUAUCUAAUAAUUUUUCUGUGGGAGGAAAGACAUGGUGAGUUCAUAUAAUAUCCCUAUGUGUGUGUGCGCGCAUGUGUAUGAGUUUUAUAACAUGUGCAUGAUAUAUGUUCUCUAGGGUAUUAAAGUUGUAUCCCAAGUGCUUCUCUACAUCAUCAGAUGACAAAUGGAUAUCCAUUUGUCUGCAUCUAGCCUACAACGAAAGAUUAAUAAAGGAUGAGAGGAUUUACACGCGAGGUCAUCUCCGAGUUCUAGAUCCAUUUGGAGACGAUCACAUCACAGAGAAAUGUAUGUGAACUUACUGUCUUAGCUUUCUUAAGUUAACACCAAUAUUGAUGAGAUGAGAUAUAACUCUCUCUAGAGAUUGUGAUAUUCAGUUUGCUCCCUUGAGUAUAAUAACAUGGAAGCUCAAAGAUACUCUACUUUUUUUUGCAGUUAAUUCCUGGCACGAUGGAUCAAACUCAGGCUGUGGUUGCGACAAAAUUGUGUCAGUGGCUAAGCUUCGGGAGGAUUAUAUGGACGAGGUAGACACUUUGAGUUUAGAGAUCGAAUUUGAUGUUGUUUCUGCAACUAACUACUCACCUACCUCUUAAGCUCUCCCACUUCCGUCAGUCACCUUUGUUUUUACUCUCAAGUGAUUCACUUUUAUCAGGUUUUCCUUAUGCACUGAAAUGUCUUUUUUCUUUAAUGACUUUAUUGGAGAAAAAAAAAUCAGUUGAGGAACUCGGUUCAGUUUGAGGUGGGACAAGUUGCGAAAUUUGCUUAAUAAAUUCAUUUUGUGAUUGCUGAAGAUAUUGAAGUAAGCUAUGUCGACACAUUUUCAAAGUUUUGUUCAAAUGAUUAGAAUCUGAGCUUUCUCCUAUUGCAUUACUAAAUUAUAUCCUUCCCUUGGCCAUUCUACAGAUUUGGUUUCGAAGCACAUCAAUCAUCACAAUAUUGAUCUUUUUGGGCAACUCCAAUGAUUCUUUUUGGAUGACUCACAACAUGUCUCCGGUGGUGCUUCUCCACCACUAGGGAAUCUGCCUUCCCCUCUCGUUAGGAUCAGGUCUUGGAGCUUUCUUGGUAGGGUUCAGUUUUGAUGAUAUUGAUCUGAUGCUUAUUAUCUACAUUAUACUUUAUUGAUAGGGUAAGUCGUUUUCCCCUUUUGUUAGGAUUAGGUCUAGGAACUUUCUUGCUAGUACGCUCGUAAUAGGACCAGUCUUCUAAUCUCUCUUACGCUUAGUAGUAGCCAGCCUUAAAAGGUUGAUACUAGAAAAAGAGACAUUUUCAAACUAAGAGAAACAAAACGCUUCCUAUUAAUGAGCCAUUUUCAAAUACAUUUCAAUUAGGAUACUAUAGCUUUAUAUUUCUUUCUUAUCUCAAAGCCAAGAGAAUUUGUGCAGAGCAGAAAUGAAGCAGAAGGGACGAAUGUUUAUUUAAUUCCUCAAAUAUUUAUAAUUGGUAGAUUUAUUUCUCAAUAUCGUCAGAUUGAAUUCUCAAAUAUGAGUUGACUUGAAAAACUGAGUUUAGAAAAGUCAGCCUGCUAAACAAUUAAUAGAAAACGUUAAAAUAAAUUAAAGAAGCAUAACAUUUGAUUCUUUUAAUCUCAAUUUUGUGCAGUUAACUCAUAUAUAAGAAUUUAUCUGCAACCACGAAAAAUUGGAAAUAAUUCUGCUAAUUGCAAAUUAAACGAGCAUUUUACAAAGUAUACAUACAUACACGAUUUGAUGUAUUAAACGACUCCAUAAAAGGAGUAAAAUAGGACAAGGGUUCGGCCCAGUAAAAAAAAACAGUUGACUUUUCAGUUGGAUUAGAUGAUCUUUGUUAUCUGGUUGCGUUGGCCUGAUUCUUUUUUUUUUUUUUUGGGUAAAAUGUAAAGAUGUUGGCCUGAUUCUUGCGAAACAAUUUUCAAACUCGUAUUCUACAAUACGAUAUCGAGUUCGGACUUCGGAUCAUACAACCUUAUCGUAAAAAUAUAUAUUAAAUAUGUGACGAGGAACUAUUUUUUGUUGUUGUUGUAGGUAACGAGGAAAUUUUGAGAUUGAAUAUUGGUUAAUAAGAAAAAAAAACUAAGGUACAAUAAAUUUUAAUAAUUUACGUGCCGAUGUUGCCUUUCACGUGGCCAUCCUAGCUUUUUAUUCCCACCAUCGGCAUGUCUCAUUACCCCUCACUUCAACCGAGUAAAAAAAAAAAAAAAAAUCAAUAAUCUCUUAAAGCUAAAAAGAAAAUAAGUUAAAUAACUAAAAACAAAACAAAAAUCACUGUGAAAAUAAAGAAGACGAAAGAUAGAUCCGAAUCCCAUCUCAUCUGUAAUCUUCUAAUUCACUCACAAUUUUUUUCUUUUUUUAAAAAAACCCCAAAAAACAAAACAGCCAAAAAGUCGGAGAAUUUUUGUUGUUCCGAUCCUCUGAUUCUCUGAAUAUCCAAACCUCACAGACAACGCCGAGCGACAAUGCUCUGCUAUGUCGGAAAAGCCACCAAGAUUUUCAUUUUCAUCGUCACCGUCGUCGUCGUCAUUGGUCUCGUCGUUGGCUUCGGUAUCCUCCGUCGACAUUCCCACCACUGCUCCGGCGACUAUUGCCCACCUUCCGCCGAUUCUUCUUCUUCUUCCUCUUCCUCCACUUCCCCUUUUAUAACUCCGUUUCCUGAUCCAAACCCGAAUCCAAACCCGAACCCGCCUGUUCUUGGAUCUUCCCCACCAACUCCAUCAGAUUCAUCAUCACCAAACCCGUCUGUUCCAAUUCUCCCAAAUCCGCCGGCGCCGAUCGUGAACCCGAACCCGCCUCCGCCUCCUUCUACGCCUAAUCCGAAUCCUCCGCCGCAAUUUUCACCUCCUCCGCCGGAUUUUGAUACAACCACCGCACCGCCUCCGCCUACACUGCAGACAACAAUCGCGCCGCCGCCUCCAGCGACGGUGUCGGCAUCUCCGCCAUUAAAUCCGCCGAGCUCCGUCGUCAACACUCCCGCUCCUUUGCAUGCUAAGCUGGUCAAUGACUAAACUUGACUAUACCUUUGUAAAUUCCGCCAUUUUUUGUUCUCAUCACUUUCUUGUUCUUGAUCUUGAUUCGUUUGUUUUUAUUCUUCUUCUAAUUAGAUCAAAUUUUCUAAUCGUCAAUCUUUAAAUCAAGUUGAAACUUCUAUUCUGAUUUUCAUGAGGCUUUAUGUGAUGUUCACCAUAUAGGAAGAAAGAUCCGAUCGAAUGUUAACACACAUAUUUUGUCUUACUAAUUUCCAGUUAUCCCAUGGGGAGUGAGUUGUCAAUCAAUCUUUAUCAUAGGAUUUAUGACAAAGAAAUAAUGUUGUUUUUUUAGUUAAGUAUUUGUUUGUUUUAGCUUCUAAGUUAAUUAAAGGCCUUACUUAAAAGAGAGAGUAUCAUUGUCUUAGCGGUCACCAGUCAAAUCUCCUUUUUGGCUGGUAAACUAUAUAAUUACUUUUUGGAUAUUACAUUAUUAACAUUGAAAUAAUUCAAAUGUAACUGUGAAAACACAGAGUUAGGAGGGGUCAAGAGACAAGAGGUGGGUCAAUGGGUUAAGAAUCCCAUGGAUUUUGUCUGACUAAUUUUGACCACUUCAUCUUUGCAAAAUUCUAGUCUUUUGUUCCGUACCCUUUUUCAUUUUUUGCUUUACUUUAUCAUUCCUGUUGUUUCCUUCCCAUAUUUUAUUGAUAGUAAACUGGGUGUUAUUUAAACACUUUUAACAUUUGAGGUCAAAAAAAAAAAAAAAACACUUUAACAUUUAUUUAUUUGUUAUAUGACACCAAAGAGAUUCUUUAAAUUUGCAUAUAUGAAACCUGAAUUCUUAGAAAUGUUAUUUAUUACUAUUAGUAUCAGAAGGAGACCUCUGGUUGAGCUGUUGGUGCAUUAACUGUUUUACAAGAGUGUCUCUGGAGUCUGGAGCUUUUACUUGAUGAACCAACAUUUUUUGGUAACUGAAGCAACAUUUAUGAGACUUUUUUGUAUUAAAUGCUAAUUAGUUUUAAAUGUUUUAAUAUGGGCCUGUUCAACGUCAAAGAAUUUGUUUUUUUUUUAUCAUGGGCUUUACUAUAUGUCCCAAAUCAAAACUUGAUUUAACCGUUUACCUUGAAACGCACCUAAUGUAUUUGAAUAUGUGAUUAAUGUGGGAAACUUUGUGAUCACUAUUAUUAAGUGAACUCCACGAUAGAAGGUUACAAAACGACAGCAGAGCUGCAGAAAAGUAAACCACACAACAAUGUUUUAACUAGUUAAUGUUUUUAAUGUGACACCAUUUUUCUAUAACUGCAGGAUAAUCCGAGUUUUUACUGCCAUACUAUUUCGGUAUUUCCUUUAAGGUGAAUGUAAACAUCAAGUAGCUUAUUUACCGAUUUUUUUAAUAUAUCUGAAUACAACACUAUUUCGACUAAGCAAAUGAGAAUUGUUUGAUAAUUCCACACUUAAUGAGAAUCGAUCAUUGACAUAGACCAACAAGACAACUUCUCAUCAAGUAGGAACCACUAGUCCACUUUCACUUGAUUUAGUACAACAUUUUUCAUUGUUGGAAUUGGUAACCUUUAAAUUGAACAACAUUUGUGACGCUGAAUCGUCUUACAAAUAUUUGGGCUGACCCUUAUUACAUAAUUCCUCAUCAAGUGGAAUAGGUAAUGAUACAAGUAUUCAUGUGGUUUGGGCUUAGAAGAAUUUUCAAUCAAUGUAUUUCCAAAAAAUAGUUCUCAUAUUUGAAACCCGUUCUUCAACAUCACUAAGUAAUAUGUAAUCCCUGGCCCAAACUUUUCAGCAAAAAUAUAUCGUCAAAACUGAUUUUGUUGAUGACAAAAAGAAAAAAAAACUGAUUUUGUUAAAAAUUUGUUAGGGGUUAAAACCAAAACAAAGAAGUGGUUAGGGCUGUCAAGUUCCAUACUUCCAUGCACCAUCGUUUUCCGAAAAACUCAUGAUCGCUCUACCUGUAUCUUUGGAACGAAUUAAACCAUUAAAGUCAUUAAUUCAUUAUAACCCAAACUAAUGGAUUCUCUAAACUAUUAAAGCAUAUCUAGUUCUGGAGAACGAAUAGUUAUAUUUUAAAUUCAAUGAUCUUAUGCUUACUUAAAAAGAUCCACAUUAUUGAUAAGGACCGAUCUCUAUACUCCGGACUCGUGGAGUGCCAGCAACCUUAUCAUUGAACAUAAUUAUAUAGUUAUCAAGUCAAACUAUGUAGUAUACAUUAUACAGACAGUCAAACAUGACUAUUGGCUUUUACCUUUGAUUUGACCAAUAAUGCAUAACUAUACAAACUUUUAUAGUUUACUUGAGUAUAUCUUAAUGAGAAAUCCUUUAGACGACAUUUACCUUAUAUGAAAAUCAUGAACAUAAGUCCAAAAUUUCGAUAGAAUUCUAUUUACUUAAUGUGGUUACUUUUAUAUUUUAUUUUGUGUGUGUGUUGAUAUUAUAGAGUUUCAGAAUUCGUAACUAUACUUUUUUUUUCUCAGUGUAUUAUUUUGAUAUGAAAAAAUUGAAUAUUUUUUUUUCAAGAUAUUUUGCGUAUGAUUGGAACCGGUGAUGGUGGACGUCGCUUACGCAAAAACAAAGGAUUAGGAGAAAGAAAUGGAGCAAUGUGCCCACUUAAAGAAAAAAAGGAGCAAUGUGGUUCACCACCUUCGUUGACCUGUCCUCAUCAAAUUGACUCAGCAGAGCACAUGUGACCAAUAUCUUCUGCUGGUUAUCCGUUGAUGUUUGAAUUAUUUAGUCAAAAACCAAUCAGCAUCUCAUAAUAUUCUCUUAUAUUUUAAUUAAAUUUACAUUAUAUUUUAUAGACUAACAUAAGUCAAUUUGUUACGCUAUAAGAAAAAGUAAACAUAUAAAACCCAGAUGACUUCUUCUCCUUCUUAAAAAAUAGAUGGUACUUCGGUCAUAUUUUAUUACACGAUACAUUUCUUUGGCGUCUUUUUUUUUUUAACACACAAUAUACAUGGGGUUCUAUGAAAUAUCUUUUCGAAAGCAAACAGAAAAGAUUUUUUUUUUUUUUUCGUUUUCCCAUCUACUAAUGAUUGGUAAAAAAAUUAAGAAAAUUAAGUUGUCUAUCAUAUUUCGAACAAAUAUAUAGAUAUCAUUAGAAACGGUUAAACAUUUCAGCCUUUGCUGUCUUAUCAAGACUAUAUAGUGUUUGCUUUUAAGUCAUCACUUCUAAAAGCUAUUAAAUUCUGUGGGUUGAAACCAUUACAUUAAACACCAAUAGAGUAUAACUUUACAUGUAUACUAUUACAUCUACAAACGUUGGAAGAAGGCUUCAGUAUAUAUAUAUACUAAGAAGAGACUUACAUUUUAUUGGCUCAACACAUUGUUAAACAGCAAAACAUAAUACAUUUCUAUACAUAUCCCAUUAGCUUCAAUAAUAAAUUAAGACAGUACGUUUGGCUCAGGAACACUUUUAUUUUGGACCUCUAAUCAAGCAAUCUUAACAAAAGGGUAAAUUUCAUACCGAAAGUUACAACUCCCACCUACAACUCUCCCUCCUUCUUUACCGUCGCAGCAAUUAGGAAGCUCCCCAAUAAUCCCAUCCAAACACGCCUUGCAACUCUCUCUCCUCAAGUCCCUUGUACACUGCACCAGUCCGUAUAGCUUCUUCUUCUCCAGAUUCUUCUCCCCUGUCGCAAACAGCUUCUGGUUGUCUCCAGUAGUCGCUUUCUGCGUUAGCUCAGUUAAUAGAGCCUUUGUCUGCGUGUUAAAGGAUGCAGGAUCGCUCACGUUGUUGACGUUGUACAAAUAGAAUCUGUUCUCGUAAUCGAUCUUUCCGAAGAAAUUGGUUGAGGAAUACUUGACUAGACAGUUGUCGUACCAUAUUAUCCCUGCUUUGUUGUUGGGACAUCUCUGACGUAACUGUCACAUAACACCAACAUCAAGAAAAAUCCUCAAACUCGAUCAUAAAAUAUUUUUCCUUUUCCAAUUUUUAAGAAUUGAUUUUUUGUCUAUUACUUGUUUUGUUACAUAGUAAGGGUUCUUUUAUUUGUAGCUUUCAAUAUAACAUUUGAACCAUAUUUUAUCCUUUUUAUCAAAGUUAAUAAAUUUUAGAUUUCAAAUCAUCAUCACUUAAUUAUUGGUAUACAAUAUUGGUAUAUUUAAUAUAACGGGUAAUGUCUAAAAUGUGUUUUGUGAGAAAUGUGUAAAAUGACUCGUUUUGUCGAUAUGGACAAUCUUUAAUUAACAAAUUGUAUUCUAUAAUUUAAAUAUUAAUAAAUAAUAGCAUGGAAAUGUAAAAUAACACUGAUAAACGACUUUGUUAUUACGGUUUUUUUUCUGUUUGGUUGUACGUCAAUGCUUAUGAUCUUAUGCGGUUUCUAUAGGUCUUUGAGAUGUAACCAAAACUUAUAUGUGUAAUUAAUAUGUAAAGAUCUUAAGGUUACCUCAGGGAUGGCGGUCGCGAGACAGGAGCCACAGUCAGAGGAAGAGGCAUCGCCGCGGCAAAGGGCCAAUCCGUUGACGUUGUCUGGACUAUUACCAGCGGAGGAGGCGGCGAAACCGGAGGAUGGAACUCUGUAAGAGAUACGACGAAAGAGACUGUCGAGGUUUGACUCGUACGGACUCUUCGACGUGAAGUUCCCUUCAAUGUCAGAGCACUUGUGGUAUAGAAACGCAUUGUUUUGGCUUUGGGACGAAACGCUUUGUAUAAAGAGAAGUUGUAUGGCUAAGGCCAAUACAGAGACUGAAACGAUGCCUUUUAGUGGGGAGGAUGGAGACAUUGUUUAGGAUUUAUAAUAGUUUUCUUUUGGGAGAGUUUCUUUGAUGGAAAAAGUGUUGAGGUUGGGAUGAUUAUAUAUAGUGGCUGGACGAUUUUGGAGUUUGCGUGGUAUUAAGUUUUUUUUUUUGUUUUUUUUUUAUCUAUUUAUUUAUAUAAUAAUUAUUAGAAUAGUUGAAGUGUUCAGUUUUGUACGAUUGGGACUUGGGCAUUUUCAAAGAUUGAAUGUUCCUUUUGAAAAAAAAAGAAAACGAAAGUCAAUUUAGCUGAUUGGCUCCAUUAGAUUCUAGAUAAAACAAAAUUGUCAAAACAGCAUUUUUGUUUUUGUAAUAUCCCUAAGGGAAAAGAGGGAGUUGGGAGACUUGAUACAUGCGGCCACGAAAACGUCAACGUUCAAAGAUUUGACUGAGUGAAACUCUUCAGAUCCACGAUACGUACGGUGCCGACCUAAAAUUAAUGACAUCAAUGACAAAGAAUUAAACGUGUUUAUGGUAAAAAAAAAACUUCGACAAUGACGAAUUCUUAAGCAUGCAUCAGUGACAAAUAAUCAAACAUGUUUAUAGUAAAAAAAUGGGAUAACUAUUCAACUAAGAACGCAAAAGACCAUUUAACCAUUAAAGCGAAAACAGUACAACUUUUGAUGGAAUAAUCGAAAGUAAUAUAUAAAAAAGAAAAAAAAUUUGGUGACAUCAAUUAGCCACAAAUACCUACUUUAUCUUAGCCAAGCUAGCUUCCAAAGCCUCUAGACCAGCAAACCACUAGAUUAGUCCUCCUUCUCAAGAUCUUUAUAGAACGUACCUUCAAACUUUCUCUGUCGCUUGAUUUCUGAGUUGUGUAGAAUGGGAAGCUCAGAAAUCCUUCUAAGGGAAUUGUUUGAAUUUGUUACCAAUGCAACACUAAAUCUUCUUAUGUUCCACCGACUCCCUUAAUUCUUGCUCUUCGCGAUUACGUUCUUCAUCUGAAAGACUUACCUUAAAUAAAACUUGUGGUCUUUACUUUGCUUAAUAUGUGGUUAACCCAACAUUUGUUAAACAGAAUCCCCACUUUCCGGUUUAUAAUUACAUUUGUCUGAGAAUAUGUUUUAUUCAGACCUCAACCCGAGGUGGUUAAUAUUGACAAUGCGAGGUGAAUGCUGAUUUUUUUGUAUAUCAGUUUAUAAAACUUCUUAGAUUCGUUAAAAGAAUAUCCAAAAAUUAUAGAAAAGAGAGGAAACAAAAGCUAUUGUCUCCCUAUAUAUUAAUAACCAAAUUAAAGGGUGAAGAAUAACAAAUCUUGUACCUUAGUUAUCCAUAUGACAUAAGUCACAUAAUUGUCAGGAGAAUGUCUUGAGCAUCGCCAUCAAACAUGCUUUAGGUGCUAAUAAAAGGGUAUAACUCAUACCUCAAAUUACAGGUCGUACUCAAAACUCUCCCUCCUUGUUUACCUUGGCAGCACUUGGAAAGCUCCCUGAUAAUCAAUUCCAAACAAUCUUUACAUAAGGCUAUGUCUUUCGCACACUGCACCAUUGCAUACAGUUUCUUCGUCCCUAGCCUCUCCUCCCCCGCCGCAUAAUAUAUAGGUUCGUUUCCUUCCCCUGCUGAACGGGUGGCUUUCGGGAUCAAGUUGUAGAGAAAAUCCUCCGUCUUCUUGUUGAACAACUUUGUCUCGCCGUUUAUGUUGUUUGGGUUGUGCAAAGAGAACCUAUUCUCGUAAUCGAUCUUCCUUGGAGCUCGUUGAUCGCUCGUACUAACAUCGAGAAAACAUUGGUCGUACCAUAUUAUUCCCCCUUUGUUUCUCUCACAUCUCCUACGUAGCUGUCACAGGCAAACAUAUAUAGUUUAUGUAUCAUUACAACUUACCAAUUAGUACUCUAUUUAUGUAGUGUUAUAUUUAUAAGUAGAUGCAUAUAUACAUAUUUUACCAUAUAGGCCAAUUUAUACAUAGAAUCAGUCAUGUAUGCCACCGUAAAGGAAGCAGAACCACACAAUUUACUUGAAGAAGGCCUUGAUCAAAUUUAGUUUUGGGGAAAAAUAACAACUUCUUUCUCAAUGAGUUUAAAAAUCCAAAUUAAUAGAUUAUGCAUAAGUUCAUAUAUAUAUGUAACUAUAUGUAAGUGAUUUUAGUUGAAGCUUUUCAAAUAUAUAUUACAAUAUUGUUCUCAUCAAACUAACUCACGUUUGUUUGAAAUCACAUAACAUAACAUUUAUUAUAGUUAUCUAGUUUAUACUAUUCUAAAUUAUAACAAGUAGAAUCACAAUAUUAAGUGUUUUCUUAGCCAUCCAGUGUAUGUAAAUAUACGAUGGCUAAUUAAUAAUGUUGAAGUGACAUUACCCCGGCCACAGCGGUGGCAUAGCAUGAACGACACUUGGACCCAUAGGAGUCGCCUCGGCAUUGGAAUAUGAAGGCAACUGUAUUGGGAGCCUCACCAUAAGAUAUGUGCUCGAAACCAUUCUGCAAAUUAAUAGAGACGGUUUUGAUGAGAUAGUUUAGGUUUUCCUCAUAUUUACUUCCCGACUGGUAUUUCCCUUCACUGACGCGACAUUUGUGGUUGAGAUACGCAUUGGUAAGAUUCAGGGAUGAAACACUGCGUAUGAGGAGGAGCUGUAUAGCCAACAUAUGGAUAGAAACGAGGCGCUUGGAUAGAAAAUAUGAAGAGUACAUGAUUGGCUUCUUUUAGUAACGAGAUUAACUAGUUGUCUCAAAACGAUGUUUCUUUUUGGCUGCCUUAUACAAAACUGGAUUUGAUCAUUUUUGUUUGCAGAAGUGUCUUUUUUUUCUUUGGUCUGUAAUAGACAAGAGAGAGGAGUUUUGUAUUUUCGGCUAGGGAUUAGGAUGGCAUAUGGAAAAAGUCAAAGUUCGAAGGUUUGUUUGAGUAAAUUCUUUAAGGAUCGCACAAGAAUAAAAAUAUAGUUGACCAAAAAUAUGAAGGCAUGCAUAUAGCAUUGAUACGUAGUUAUUGAUUAAAAAUCGGGAUAUUGUCUAAAAUAUCAAACUUUUAAGUUUUUGUUUAAAAUUCUAAACUAUCCUUUUUUUGUUUCGUAUUAACAUAUAUCAAUAAUACCACAAAUAAGAUUUCUUGUCCAAGAAAAAGGAUAUUUGAAGAACAAAAUUUAUAGAAAAAUGACACUUGAGAUGAUGGAGGAUAAUUAAGAUCAUUAUUAUUAAUUUUGGUUGGAAUGAUAUGUCGCAGAUGCUCAAGAAGCUCCUAAUUACACACAUGAUCCAUAUAUAACUUAAGAGAAUUUAGAAAAUAGUUUAGCAAAAAAAAAAAAAAAUUGGAAGUAUAGAAUUAGAAACCACGGAUGUGCAUCUACGUACAUUAAGUGAUAGGCAAGGAGUUAUUCUCUCGUCUAAUUUCCGUGGCUUCAACAAUUCUUAUUUUGAGUUUGUUAUGGUUCAUCUCUUAUUGAUCCAUGUAGAAUUAAUCAUUUCAGCAUCACCUCUUCCUCGAUCCAUGUAGAAUUAGUCAUUUCAGUAUCACUCUUCCUUAAUCCAUUUAGAGAUCAUUUCAGAUUUGUAUUACAGCGAUUUGAGCUAUAUUUGUUGAAAUUUUGUGACGUGUAUCCAACUAAAUUAAUUUUAAACGGAAUUUUGUGAGAUAUUCGUUGAAAAAAACAUCAACGACUUGGGUCAUCAGAAAAAUCUGUUAACAUUUUCUUGUAGUGCGUCUCCCCGGGAAUAUUAAGAGGGAAUAUUGGACAUUAGGUAAUGGUUUACUGUGAAAGGGGGGGGUUUGUAACGGAUGUUUAUUCAUGUGUAUCAGCGUAUAGCGUACAACUAAAAUCAAUAUAUUGUACCCUAUUCAUGGGUAUGGCUAGGGCCCAAACAAACAAAAAAGGAAGCAAAGUAGAAAACAAAACAAAAAAAGGUUAAAGGUCAUUGAAAAGUUGUCAGGAGAAUAUGUUCUACAUCUUCAUCCGACAGUAUUUUCAGCCCUAAGAAAAGGAUAUAGCUCAUACCUAACAUUACAGCUCCUACCCAAAUACAAUCUUGCUCCUUGUUUACCACCGCAGCAUUUGAAAAGCUCUUUGAUACUCGAUUCCAAACAAACCUUACAUUCCACAGGGGUUUUCGCACACUGCACCAUUGCAUACAAUCUCUUUGCCCCAAGCCUUUUGUCCCCCGCAGCAUAAUUUACCAAGUUGAUACCGUCUGGUAUAAUGGCUUUCAGCAUAAGUUCGUUGAGGAACUCCCUUGUCAUCCUGUUGAACGACUGUGUAUCCCCAUUCACGUUGUUUGGAUUAUACAUAGAGAACGUAUUCUUGUAAUCGAUCGCUGAGGAUGGGGUUUCGAUCGUACCAACAUCCAGAAAACAUUGGUCGUACCAUAUUAUUGCCGCUUUGUUUCUUGGACACCUCCUACGAAACUGUCAUAAAUACAUGCAUAUAUGAUAUAUGGUUUGUUUCAGUUUCAAUGCAAAUAUGUGGAUUUAACUUUCCUAAUUUUUUUUACUAAAGUGAUUAAGAAAGUAGAGAUAUAUAAUGUUUUCUAGAUUUUCCUUAUAUAUAACCAUUUAGUAAAAUAAAAUCAACGUAUAAUAAAAAAAGAUGGUAAAUUAAAAAAAAAACGAUGGUAAAUUUAUCUAAAAAACGAUGGUAAAUUUAUCCAAAAACGAUAGCAAAUUGAUUAAAUCCAAACUUUUUUAUUUCAUGAAACCAGAAAGAACCUACGACCCGGGAGAAACGUUUGUAUAUAUUGUGUGAAACCUAAUAAUUCAUUUUUCUCUCUUUCUCUAUUUGUACUAGGAGAUUAUUUAUAUAUCAUUGAUUUUUUUGGGUCUUUUCUUUAAUUUAUUUUGGUUUGAAAUUAUGAUCAUUUCUUUGAGUACGAAGGCUGUUAAUUUUAGAUUUCUUUUCUGGUAAAAAAUAUUAUUAGAAUAACUGAAACACAAAUUCUGUUUUGAAAUAUGAUUUAUAUGAUCUCUACCAGUUAUAUUACUUUCGAAUGCUAUAUAUAAAUCAAAAUUUGUUACGAUCUUAAAAUGUUUUUUUGGUCAACCAUUAUGCAAUUUGUAAAAAUGUGACGGCUAAUUGAUGAUGUUGAAAUGACAUUACCCCAGCAAUGGCGGUAGCAUAGCAGGAGCGGCAAUUGGGCCCGUAGGAGUCGCCACGGCACUGGAAUAAGAUUGUGACAGAAUUGGGAGCCUCACCAUAAGACAUUAAUAUGUUACCGUAAUUAAAUUUACGGUUAGAGAUUACUUCGAUGAGAUGGUUGAGGUUACCUUCGUACUUGCUUCCAGGCUUAUAACUCCCUUCACGUACUAGGCAAUUGUGGUGCAAGUACGCAUUGGUAAGGUUCAUGGACGAGACGCUGCGUACGAAUAGGAGUUGUAUAGCUAAAAUAUAGACAGAAAUUAGGCGUUUGGAGACAGGAUAUGACGAGUACAUGUACAUUGUUUUAGAUUUUGACUCCUUUUUAUCCAGAUGGUGGGGGGUGUUUUAUUUUUGUUUAACAAAUGAAGCUUGGAGAAUGGUAUGUUUAUAUAUGAGACUCAGAGGGAUUUUUUAUCUUGUUGGUUUCAUUAGUAGCUAUUAUCUCAGACAAUGUUCUUUUUGGUUAUCUUAUAGAAAACUCGAUUGAUCAUUUCAGUUUUUUUUUUUCUUCUCGAUAAUAGACAGGACAGAGGGAUUAUGUAUUUUCGGCGAGGGAUGGGGAGAACGGAGAAGAAGUCAAAGUUCAUAUGUUUCACUCUCUGUGAACGUGUUUUGAGGGUCCAAGAGUAGUAUAAUUUCACAAGUUUAUGAUCUCAUAUUUAUGUUACAACAAUAUCAAAACUAAAAGUGUAACCAUAAAUUACAUAUUAUCAUUUUAAAUGUGUAAUCUCAUAGAUUUUCUCAUUCAUUUAUACAUUCAUAUUUAAAAUUAAAAAAAAUAACAUGUUACAACAAUAGCAAAACUAAUAGUUUAACACAAAUUGCAGCGAUCAUUUUUUUUAUAAUGAUUUUAUAUCACAAAUUGCAGCGAUCAUGCGUAUAACUUUAAAUCGCCCAUGAAAAAUUUAACGACUCAAAUUUAUGUUGCAGAUCACUAUGACUUAUCAUUGUGCAUGAUUGAUCACAGCCACAUGCAAAAGAGCAAGAUAAUGUUAAUUAUUUUAUAACAUUUCAUAUAACCAUCUUAAGUUUGUUAUAUAUUGAAAAAAUUAUCUAAAAAUAAGAGAGAGAAGAGAUCGAAGAACUCUUUAUUAAUAAAUCCAAUGAAGUUAAUGGGAGAGGGAUAACUGUGGGAGAGGGAUAACUGUGUGUUUGGACCAUAUUCAUAGGCACCUUGACAAAAAAAAAAGGGAAAGACACACCAAAGGAGAAGAAAAAGAUAAAAGUAUAAAAAGAUUCGAAACAGUCUUUUAAUUAAGUCCUAAGAAAAGGAUAUAUCUCAUACCUAAGAUUACAACUCGUACCCAAAACUCUCGCUCCUUGUUUACCAUCGCAACACUUGGAAAGCUGUCUGAUACUCCAUUCCAAACAAUCCUUGCAACGGGCUAUGUCUUUCGCGCACUGCACCAUUGCAUACAAUUUAUUCGCACCAAGGCUUAUUUCUCCGGCCGCAUAAUAUAACAAGUUGGUGCUAUUUGCUUCAGCCUUAUCAGCUUUCAGAAUCAGGCUGGAGAGGAAAUCUCUCGUCUUCUUGUUGAACGACUCUUUAUCCCCUUUCAUGUUGUUUGGGUUGUGCAUAGAGAAUGUAUUCUGGUAAUCGAUUUUCCUUGGGGUGGAAUUAAUUGUACCAAUAUCGAGAAAACAUUGGUCGUACCAUAUUGUUGCCCCUUUAUUUCUUGGACAUCUCCUACGAAGCUGUCAUACGUACAUAUCAAUUUAUGUUGGUUCAUUGUAAAUGAAGAUUUAACUUUUCAAUGAAGAGAUAUGUUUUGUUUUCCCUAAGAAGUUUUACAAUAAAUAAUGAAUUACUAUUCUGAUUAAAAGAUAAUAACGGUCGCACACGAUAGGUAAAUAUGUGAAGGCUAAUUAAUAAUGUUGAAGUGACAUUACCUCGGCAACGGCGGUGGCAAAGCAGGAACGACAGGUGGACCCGUAGGAGUCACCUCGGCAUUGGAUUAUGACGUUAACGGAAUUGGGAGGGGCCUCUUCAUUAGACAUGUGUUCGAAACCGUCCGGAAAAUUGCCGGUAGAGAGGUGACUGAUGAGGGAGUUGAGGUCUUUCUCGUACUUGCUUCCAGGCUUAUAGUUCCCUUGAUUCAAAAAGCAUUUGUGGUGCAGAUACGCAUUGGUAAGGUUCAGGGAUGAAACGCUGCGUACAAGGAGGAGCUGUAUAGCCAAUAUAUGGAUAGAAACAAGACGUUUGGAUUGAAAAUAUGAAGAAUACAUUGUUUUUUAAAAAAAUAUAUAACUAAAGCGUUGAGAUUGUCAGACUGGGAUCUUUCUAUGAUUGGCUUCGUGAGUAGAUAGGUUAACUAAUUAUCUCAAAACGAUAUUCUUUUCGGGUAAUCUUAUACAAAAGUUGAUUGAUGAUUACAAUUUGUAGAAGAAAUAUUUUUUUUUUUCUUUUGUGUGUGUGUGUCUGUAACAGACAUGAGAGACUUGUGUAAUUACGGCGAGGGAUGGGGAGGGCCGAUGAAAAGGUCAAAAGCUCGAAAAAUUGUCUGAGUUAUGUCUCUAUCAAUUAAGGAUCGCACAAGAAUGAUGACAUUAUAGUAUUGAUCACGUAGUUUUGGGUAAAUAAACUAAAAUCUAUCCAUAUAAUGUUGUUUCUCAUUAACACAUAUAUUAAAUUUAUUUGUGCAAAACAUAAAUUUGUAGCAAAUAAGAGAACUGAAGAAUAACUUUAAAAGAAAAUUGACGCUCGAGAUGAAGGAUAAUAAAACGAUUUGCUUUGAUUGAUAUGUUGAAAAUGCUCAAGAACCUUCUCCUAUUUACAUACAUAAACCGUAAGUCCGUAAUACAUCUUUUCUUUUUAUUUAUCUUGUUGGCACUUAAAUCUUUUUAAAAAUUAGAAACAACACAAUUCUUUGUUGGAGUAAGCUUGAAAGAAGCUUGUUGAGCAAGUUUCUAGAAGAUUCUUUAUGUUAUGUUUCCUAAAAGAGUUAGGUCUAAGAAAAAGAAAUUAGGAGUUAUCUAAUUACCUUAUUCUAAUAGGUUUAGGAGUAGUUAAACAUCUAUAUAAGGAGAUGCCAAUGUGUGGCAUAACUUAUGAGUUUUGAGUUUUGAUUUUUUAGGUUUUUGAGUGAGUUUUCCUAAAGUUUAAUAAAAGUGAGUUUUAUUAACUUGAUCUCAAAGCUAGUUCGAUAAUAUUUGGUAGCAGAGCCACUAAAACCAAUCGAUCAAAACCUAGAAACUAAGUUCGAAAAAACAUGGGAGAUAUCGUACCGAUCACAAAACCGAAGGAGAUGAGUACAUCGACAAUCCAGUGUCCGAUGUUGAAUUCAACCAACUACACCGUAUAGGCGAUGAAGAUGCGCAUAUUACUCAGAGUUCACAAAGUAUGGGAUAUUGUGGAAACAGAGUCAGACGAUGCAGACAAAAAUGACAUCGCUAUGGCUCUGAUCUUCCAAUCAAUACCCGAAGCAGCUGUUCUACAAAUCGGCGGUCUCGAUACGGCUAAGAAAGUGUGGAACGCCAUUAAAGCAAAGCAUGUCGGAGCAGAAAGAGUCCGAGAAGCUCGACUACAGACUCUAAUGGCUGAGUUCGACAAGAUAACGAUGAAGGACACGGAGACCAUAGACGAUUUCAGUGGAAAGCUAUCCAAAAUAUGUUCGAAAUCGGCAGCAUUGGGAACAAUCAUUGAAGAGCCGAAACUUGUUAGAAAGUUUCUUAAGAGUCUACCCCGGAAGAAGUUCAUACAUAUAGUGGCCUCACUCGAGCAAGUAUUAGACCUCAACACCACCAGUUUUGAGGAUAUUACUGGGCGCUUGAAAGCCUACGAAGAAAGAAUUCAAGGAGAAGAUGAGGAAUCACAAGAAGAUCAGGGAAAAUUGAUGUACACCAAUACAGAGUCACAACCAAACCGAAACUACAGUAACGAAUCUAGAGGCAGAGGUCGAGGAGGACGCUUCUAUAACAGAGGAAGAGGUCGUGGCAGAACCAAUGAGGCAAGAGAUUUGUCUAAAGUUACUUGUUAUCGGUGUGACAAGAUGGGACACUAUGCAUCAAGUUGUCCUGAUAGAUUGCUGAAACUUCAAGAGACUAAGGAAGAUGAGGUCAAUGAUGAUGACACACACGAAGGAGAGAAGUUGAUGAUGCAUGAAGUAGUAUUUCUCAAUGAGAAAAACGUGAGGCCAGACAAAUUUGCGAUGACUUCCGAUGAAGACAACAUGUGGUAUCUUGAUAACGGGGCUAGCAAUCACAUGACAGGUAACCGAAGUUAUUUCUCAAAGAUUGACGAAAGUGUCACGGGAAAGGUGCGCUUUGGAGAUGAUUCUCGUAUCGACAUCAAGGGAAAAGGAUCCAUACUGUUUGUAAGCAAGGAUGGUGAGAAGAAAAUUCUUGCAGACGUCUAUUUCAUACCGGAUCUCAGAAGUAAUAUAAUCAGUCUAGGGCAGGCUACGGAAUCCGGAUGUGAUAGCAAGGGAACUACUUAACACUUUAUGGGAGUGAUGGAAAGUUACUAGUAAAAGCACAAAGAUCAAGAAACCGGCUCUACAAGGUUCGAAUGGAGGUGGAAAACAGUAAGUGUCUGCAGAUUACAACCUUAAGCGAUUCAGCUAAAUGGCAUGCAAGGCUUGGACAUGUUGGUAUAAACACCUUGAAGACAAUGAUCAAAGAUGAUUUAGUCACAGGUAUACCAAGUAUUGCAGUUGAAGAGGAAACCUGCUCUGCAUGUUUACUCGGUAAACAAGCGAGGAAGACUUUCCCACAGGGAACCUCAUAUCGAGCAAAGCAAGCACUUGAACUGAUCCACGGCGACCUCUGUGGACCGAUUACACCGGCUACAGCAGCACAAAAUAGAUACAUCUUUGUGCUGAUAAAUGAUUAUUCGCGAUACAUGUGGUCCCUUCUGCUAAAGGAAAAGAGUGAAGCAUUCAGCAGAUUUAAGAAGUUCAAACAGAUUGUUGAGCAAGAAACUGGUCUGAAGAUUCAAACUCUACGCACUGACAGAGGAGGCGAGUUUGUGUCUCAAAAAUUUCAUGAUUUUUGCGAAGAUACAGGCAUCAAAAGACACCUAACUGCCCCAUACUCCCCUCAACAAAAUGGAGUAGUGGAAAGGAGGAACAAGACACUUAUGGAGAUGACAAGAAGCAUCAUGAAACAUAUGAAAAUCCCAAAUUUCUUGUGGGGAGAAGCUGUGAGACACGUAACCUAUAUCAUAAACAGAGUAGGGACAAAGACUUUGUUGAAGCAAACUCCAUAUGAAGCGCUUAAAGGGAAGAAGCCUAACAUCGAACACUUAAAAGUUUUCGGAUGUAUUGGGUAUGCGAAAAUAACAACUCCUCACCUAAAGAAACUAGAUGAUAGAUCACAAGAACUGAUUCAUCUAGGAACAGAGCCUGGGUCAAAGGCUUAUCGGCUUUUAGAACCAAAGAGCAAAAGGAUAAUUGUCAGCCGUGAUGUUGUUUUCGACGAAACAAAGGGCUGGAAGUGGAAUAAUUCAGGAACCCAUGCUAAUAACGAUGCAGGGACAUUUACUCUUGCUCUAAGAGAUGGAGGAAGCAGCGAAACAGGGGAUAAAAGAUUGAAUGAAACAGAAGAAACAGGGAAUGAUCAAAGCAUCGAUGAUGAAGAAGAAAACGAUGUUAGCGAUAGUCUCGAGUAUGAGACUGAAGGAACCGUAGGACAUGAAUCUGAUCAACCUGUUCUUAGACGUUCAUCGCGAGCACGAAAACAACCAGGUUACCUAGGAGACUUCGUUCUCCUUGCAUAAAUUGAAGGGGAACGUCUUUUACUUGCGAUAGACGAAGAACCUUGGAACUACAAUGAAGCAAAAGAGUUAAAAGUCUGGAGAGAUGCAUGUGAAGAAGAGAUAGCUUCGAUCAAUAAGAAUAAAACAUGGAGCCUGGUCGAUCUUCCAGUUGGAGCAAAACCAAUUGGACUUAAGUGGGUGUUUAAGAUAAAACACAACUCUGAUGGGAGCAUAAAUAAAUACAAAUCGAGGCUUGUCGCAAAGGGUUAUGUGCAGAGGUUUGGUAUUGACUUCGAUGAAGUAUUUGCUCCCGUAGCACGAAUUGAAACCAUUCGUUUUAUCAUUGCACUAGCCGCUUCGAACAGAUGGAAGUACAUCAUCUUGAUGUAAAAACAGCGUUUUUACAUGGCGAAUUAAAGGAGGAAGUUUAUGUGCAUCAACCUGAGGGAUUUGUAGUUAAAGGAAGUCAGGGCAAAGUAUACAAGCUACACAAAGCUCUUUAUGGACUUAGGCAAGCACCAAGAGCCUGGAACAACAAGCUCAAUCAGAUUCUUCGGGAGUUGAAGUUCAGCAAGUGUUCGAAAGAACCCUCUUUAUACCGAAAAGAAGAAAAGGGUUUACUUCUUGUUGUAGCUGUGUACGUGGACGACUUACUUGUCACAGGAUCUUCUUUGAAAUUAAUUCUUGAGUUCAAACGGGGCAUGGCAGAGCGUUUUGAGAUGAGUGAUUUGGGAAGACUGACAUAUUACUUUGGGAUAGAAGUGAUGCAACAAGGAGAUAGCAUCACACUAAACCAGGAAAUUUAUGCAAAGAGAAUACUUGAAGAAAAUGGGUUAAGCGAAUGCAAUGCUGUGCAUAUACCGAUGGAUGCGGGCUUAAAUCUAAGUAAGGCACUUGAAGAAAGAAGCAUCGAUGAAAAAGAAAUACAGGAGGAACAUAGGAUGUCUUCGAUACCUGCUUCAUACAAGACCUGAUCUUUUGUAUUGUGUCGGAGUGCUAAGCAGGUAUAUGCAGAAUCCAAAAGAAUCCCAUGGAAUAGCAUUAAAACAAAUCCUAAGGUAUCUCCGAGGAACCUUAAGAUACGGUUUGAAGUUUAUAGAAGCGAAUGCAUCUGGUCUGGUUGGAUAUAGUGACAGUAGUCAUAAUGUUGACUUAGACGAUGGGAAAAGCACUUCGGGACAUAUUUUCUACAUCAAUAACUGUCCUAUAACAUGGUGCUCACAGAAGCAAGAAACUGUUGCACUAUCUUCAUGUGAAGCGGAGUUUAUGGCUGCAACAGAGGCAGCUAAGCAAGCGAUAUGGUUGCAGGAGUUACUCGAGGAAGUCAUUGGAUCAGGAUGUGAAAAGGCUGUGGUUCGGAUUGAUAAUAAAUCAGCUAUAGCCUUGACUAAAAAUCCAGUGUUUCACGGUAGGAGUAAGCACAUACACCGAAGGUAUCACUUCAUUAGAGAAUGCGUUGAGAACGAGCAGAUACUGGUUGAACAUGUUCCGGGAACAGAACAGAAAGCUGACAUUCUGACUAAAGCACUUGGCAGAACCAAGUUUAAAGAGAUGAGAGAUCUCAUUGGAGUCAAGGAGGUGACUAAAGAAGAUUUCAAGUUUAAGGGGGAGAUUGUUGGAGUAAGCUUGAAGAAGCUUGUUGAGCAAGUUUCUAGAAGAUUCAUUAUGUUAUGUUUCCUAAAAGAGUUAGGUCUAAGAAAAGGAAAUUAGGAGUUAUCUAAUUACCUUAUUCUAAUAGGUUUAGGAGUAGCUAAACAUCUAUAUAAGGAGAUGCCAAUGUGUGGCAUAACUUAUGAGUUUUGACUUUUGAUCUUUUAGGUUUUUGAUUGAGUUUUCCUAAAGUUUAAUAAAAGUGAGUUUUAUUAACUUGAUCUCAAAGCUAGUUCGAUAAUAUUCUUCACCUUCUACAAGUUAAAAGCAAGCAGGUAUUCUCUCAUUCAAUUUCCGUGGUUUCAACAGUUCUUCUUCUGACUUUGUUAUGGUUCAUCAUCUCUCAUCAAUCUUCCUUUAUUCAGGUAGACGCAUUGAGGUUGUCAUAUCAUAUCGUAACUAAUCAAGAUUGUGCAGAAGUAUGCAUAUCUCAUCAAAUUACGUUGCAGAAGUAUUGAUAAUGCGGGUAAAUUUUGAUUUACUGUAUAUCAUCUUGCCAAACUUUCUUAAGUUUUACUAUAUUAAAACUUAUCUGAAAACAAAAAAGAGAAGAGAGGAAAGCUAUAUUGUCUCCCUAUUAAUAAUCAAAUCAAGGGUGAAUGAUAACGUGGUUUUGGACCCUAUUAAUAGGUCUAACUAAGAACUAAAUAAAUAAAAAGAAAAGAAAAGUAGAAAAGGAAACGAAAGCAAAAAGGUAAACUAAAAAUUAAACAGAAGUGGAAAAAAUGCAAAAUCAAAACAAAAUAAAAAAAAAUACUUGUCAUGAGGAUGUGUUCUAUACAUCAUCAUCAAACAGUCUUUUCGGUCCGAAGAAAAGGAUAUAGCUCAUACCUAACGUUACAGCUCCUACCCAAAUAUACUCUUGCUCCUUGUUUACCGUCGCAGCACUUGGAAAGCUCCCUAAUACUCGAUUCUAAACACACCUUACACUUCAGUGCGUUUUGUGCACACUGCACCAUUGCAUAUAGUCUAUUGGCCUCAAGUCUCUUCUCCCCUGCCGCGUAAUAUACAUAGUUGAUAGCGUUGGGUUUCAAGGCUUUAGGGAUCAGUUCGUUAAGGAAAUCUCUUGUCUCCUUGUUGAACAACCUUUUAUCUCCUCUCACGUUGUUUGGAUUGUGCAUAGAGAAAGUAUUCUCGUAAUCCAUCGUUUGCAUUGGGACUUCAAUCUUAUUAACAUGGAGAAAACAUUGGUCGUACCAUAUUAUUGCCACUUUGUUUCUCGGACAUCUUCUACGAAGCUGUCAUAUUCAUAUUCACAUAUAUUUUAUUCAUUUUUUAAGAAGAUGAAUUAUUUUUCAAUGCAAAGAUAUGUUUGUUUUUCCAACUUCUUUUUACAUUAAAUGAUUAGUUUAUAUUGUUGACUUAAGCUUGAAGUUAAACAUUCUAGAAGGUUCUAGAUAAACAUAAAUGUUUCUAUUAGAAUUAGGAAAUUGUUUAGGAGUUAUCUAAACAUACUUAAGAGUUAUCUAAGAAAAAGAAAGUUGCUAUUCUAAUAGAAAAAGGAAUAAAUCCACUAUAUAAGGAGAUGCAAAGAUGUUGCAUAACUUAUGAGUUUAAGGAUUUUGGGAGCUUAAGUUUUGAGAGAUUUUCUUAAGCUAAUAAAGAGAGUCAUUCUUUAUAUUUUUAAGUUCUUAAACGAGUUUUACUUACUUUAAUUGGUAUCAGAGCGACCUUAAGAUCAAACCAGGCAACGACAAUAACCAUGGGAGACCUUGUUCCGAUAACCAAACCUAAAGAACUUAGUGUCUCUUCCAUUCAAUGUCCCAUGCUGAAUUCUACAAAUUAUACAGUAUGGGCCAUACGAAUGCGGACACUGCUCAAAGUUCAUAAGGUGUGGGAAAUCAUAGAAACAGAGUCGACGGAUUCAGAAAAGAACGAUGUAGCUACAGCUCUGUUAUUCCAAUCAAUUCCCGAAACCUUAAUCCUGCAAGUCGGCGGAUCAGAAACAGCAAAGAAGGUUUAGGAGGCGAUUAAAUCAAAACACGUUGGAGCCGAAAGAGUAAAAGAAGCUAGACUACAAACGCUGAUGGCAGAGUUUGAUCGGCUUAAGAUGAAAGACACAGAAACCAUUGAUGACUUUAGCGGAAAGCUAUCGGAGAUAUCUUCAAAGGCAGCGGCAUUAGGAACAAGUAUUGAAGAGUCUAAACUUGUCAAGAAAUUUCUUAAAAGUCUUCCUCGGAAGAAAUUCAUACAUAUGGUAGCAUCUCUUGAACAAGUUUUAGACCUUAAUACCACAAGCUUUGAAGACAUCACUGGACGCUUGAAGGCAUAUGAGGAACGCAUACAUGAGGAGGAAGAAGAUCAAGUGGAUCAAGGAAAACUCAUGUAUGCAAACAACGAUACUAAGAGCAACUAUGAGCAUACUGGUAGAGGCAGAGGUCGAGGAGGAUGCUUCUACAACAGAGGAAGAGGUCGGGGCAGAACAAAUGAGACAAGAGACUUGUCCAAGAUAGUUUGCUACCGUUGUGACAAAACCGGGCACUUUGCAUCAAACUGUCCAGAUCGAUUGUUGAAGCUACAAGAAACUCAAGAAGAUGACAUUACAGAUACACAGGAAGCAGACAAGUUGAUGAUGCAUGAAGUUGUGUACUUGAAUGAAGGAAAAGUCGUACCAAGUAGCUAUAAAACUAACUCUAGUGAAGAAAACACUUGGUACCUAGAUAACGGAGCUAGCAAUCACAUGACAGGUGACAGGCGGUACUUCUCGAGAAUAGAUGAUUCCGUUACUGGAAAAGUGAGGUUUGGUGAUGAUUCUCGUAUUGACAUUAAAGGAAAGGGAACUAUUGAGUUCACUGACAGGAACGGCGAACCAAGAACCAUGUCCGAUGUAUAUUAUAUUCCAGAGUUGAGAAGCAACAUCAUCAGCCUCGGACAAGCCACCGAAGCUGGAUGCGAGGUUAGGAUGAAAGGAGAAUACCUAGUAAUGCACGAUCGUGAAGGAAAAUUACUAGCCAAGGCAACUCGUUCGAGAAACCGUCUCUAUAAAGUCAGUAUGGGGAUCAAGAAUACUAUGUGUCUAUUCUCUACGACAACAAGUGACUCAAGUAGAUGGCACGCACGAUUGGGUCAUCUCAACCUAGAAACACUUAAAAUAAUGAUACAAAAGGAGAUUGUAUCAGGGAUUCCAAGUAUGGCCAUAGAGAAGAGAGUAUGUGGUUCAUGUCAACUCGGAAAGCAAGCUAGACGAAUGUUCCCUCAAACUACAUCCUUUCGAGCAAAACAAUCACUGGAGCUAAUCCAUGGGGAUCUUUGCGGUCCUAUAUCACCGUCGACAUCGGCAGGGAACAAAUAUGUGUUUGCUCUUAUAGACGACUAUUCCAGAUAUAUGUGGACAGUAUUGCUAAAGGAGAAAAACGAGGCAUUUGGGAAAUUCAAAAGUUUUAAAAGCUUGGUGGAACAAGAUGCAGGAAAAAGAAUACAGACUUUCAGAACUGAUAGAGGAGGAGAGUUUGUAUCUCAAGAAUUCAACUCUUUUUGCGAUACUUCCGGGAUAAAGCGACAUCUCACAGCUCCUUAUUCACCUCAACAAAACGGAGUUGUUGAGAGACGUAAUAGAACGCUUAUGGAGAUGACAAGAAGCAUUCUAAAGCAUAUGUUUGUUCCAAACUUCUUGUGGGGAGAAGCUGUAAGACAUUAUACUUAUCUUCUGAAUCGAAUAUCCACAAGAUCACUCAAGAACAAAACCCCAUACGAGAUGUUCUAUGACAAGAAACCAAACAUUGGUCAUCUUCGAACAUUUGGGUGUAUAAGCUACACAAAGAUUGAGGCACAACACUUGAAGAAACUUGAUGAUCGCUCAAGGAUGUUGGUACAUUUGGGGACAGAACCAGGAUCAAAAGCAUACAGAUUGCUUGAUCCGAAAACCAGAAGAGUGGUGGUAAGUCGAGACGUGGUCUUCGACGAAACAAAGGGAUGGAACUGGAAUCAAACGGGUUCAAGUACAGAUGAAUUCGGAAGUUUUAAAAUAAGUUUUGGAGACUUCGGAAAUCAUGGUAUUCAAAGAACAGAGACUGAAAGUGUCGAUGAUGAAGAAGCAGAGUCUGAUACUUCCAGAACAGAGCACAAAGAAACAGAGCAUGACGAAUUAAGCGAAGAUGAAGAUACUAUCUCAGAAAGUGAUCAGGGAACACAAGAACAUGAUGGAGAAGAAGCUUCACCAGUUCUACGAAGGUCACAACGACCAAGAGUAACACCAAAGUAUCUUGAGGACUUCGUGUUAACCAGCGAGGAGGAAGGAGAAAGAUUGUUGAUGUGCUUGAAUGAUGAGCCCUAUUAUUUCGAGGAAGCCAAGGAAUCAAAGGAAUGGAUUUGCGCUUAUGAAGAUGAAAUACAAUCAAUUAACAGAAAUCACACUUGGGAUCUCGUCGAUCUUCCAAGCGGAGCAAAGCCUAUUGGAUUGAAGUGGGUCUUCAAACUUAAAAGAAACUCUGAUGGAAGCAUCAAUAAAUACAAGGCCCGUUUAGUAGCAAAAGGAUACGUGCAGAGGUACGGAAUAGAUUUUGAUGAGGUGUUUGCGCCUGUAGCACGAAUUGAGACAAUUCGGCUUCUGAUUAACCUUGCUGCGGCUCAUGGCUGGGAAAUACAUCACUUGGACGUGAAAACGGCCUUCCUCCAUGGAGAAUUAAAAGAAACCGUUUAUGUCGCUCAACCUGAAGGGUUUAAGGAGAAAGGAAGUGAAGAUAAGGUUUAUAAACUCAACAAAGCACUCUAUGGAUUGAGACAGGCACCAAGAGCUUGGAAUGAUAAGCUGACUCAGAUUCUCAAAGAUUUAAAGUUUGUAAAGUGCUCUAAAGAACCUUCGGUGUACAAGAGAGUGGUAAAAGGAGAUCUUCUUCUAGUCGCCGUUUACGUUGAUGACUUGUUUGUUACGGGAACAAACACAAGGCACAUUUACGAGUUCAAGGAACAGAUGGCAUCAAAUUUCGAGAUGAGUGAUCUCGGAAAAUUAACAUAUUAUCUUGGGAUAGAAGUGAGUCAGACAGAUGAAGGAAUCACGUUAUGCCAAAGACGAUAUGCACAGAAAAUCCUAGAAGAAGCUGGGAUGAAGAAUUGCAACUUGGCUCAUAUUCCGAUGGAUCCUGGUCUCAAGUUAUCAAAAGCAGAAAGCGAAAAGGAUGUCGAUGCUACUCAGUUUCGGAAAAAGGUUGGCUGUUUGAGAUACUUGCUUCACACAAGACCUGACUUAUCUUAUUGCGUGGGCGUUCUAAGCCGAUAUAUGCAGAUGCCAAAGGAUUCUCAUUGUGCAGCGAUGAAACAUUGCUUAAGGUACUUACAAGGGACUACGGCCUAUGGACUGAUAUUUAAACGAACAACUACUGGAGUUCCAAAGCUAAUAAGGUACAGUGACAGCAGUCACAAUGUCGAACCUGAUGAUGGUAAAAGCACAACUGGUCACAUAUUUUAUCUCGGAGAGAGUCCUAUAUCCUGGUGUUCUCAGAAACAAGAAACUGUAGCUUUAUCAUCUUGUGAGGCUGAAUUUAUGGCUGGAACAGAAGCAGCACGACAAGCCAUUUGGCUGCAGGAUUUGCUUGGCGAAAUCACAGACUCUGUAAGUAAGAAGGUUCUCAUUCGGAUUGAUAACCAGUCAGCUAUUGCACUUACAAAAAAUCCAGUGUUCCAUGGAAGAAGCAAACACAUUCAUACAAGAUACCACUUUAUAAGAGAAUGUGUUGAGAAAGGGCAGAUAGAAGUCGAACACAUUUCUGGUAAUGAACAAAAUGCGGACAUCUUAACAAAGGCUUUGGGAAGGAUCAGAUUCAAGGAGAUGAGAGAUCUUAUUGGAGUGCAAGAGAUUUCAAAGGAAGAAUUCAAGCUUAAGGGGGAGAAUGUUGACUUAAGCUUGAAGUUAAACAUUCUAGAAGGUUCUAGAUAAACAUGAAUGUUUCUAUUAGAAUUAGAAAAUUGUUUAGGAGUUAUCUAAACAUACUUAGGAGUUAUCUAAGAAAAGGAAAGUUGCUAUUCUAAUAGAAAAAGGAAUAAAUCCACUAUAUAAGGAGAUGCAAAGAUGUUGCAUAACUUAUGAGUUUAAGGAUUUUGGGAGCUUAAGUUUUGAGAGAUUUUCUUAAGCUAAUAAAGAGAGUCAUUCUUUAUAUUUUUAAGUUCUUAAACGAGUUUUACUUACUUUAUAUAUGACUAUAGUGUUGGAGUGACAUUACCCCGGCGACGGCUAUGGCGUAGCAGGAGCGACACUUGGGCCCGUAGGAGUCACCACGGCACUGAAAUACGAUGGUAACGGAAUCAGGAGCCUCGCCAUAAGUCAUAGAUACGAAACCGUUCUUAAGUUCAAGGAGAGAGACGGAUUCGAUGAGAUAGUUAAGGUCUUUAGCGUACUUGCUUCCAGGCUUAUAGUUCCCUUGAGUGACGAGGCAAUUGUGGUGCAAAUAUUCAUUGGUAAGGUUCAUUGAUGAAACGCUGCCUAGUAUAAGGAGGAGUUGUACAGCUAAGAUAUUGCCAGAAAUGAGGCGUUUGGAUAGAAAAUGUGAAGAGAACAUUGUUUUAGGUUUUUAAAUUUCUUUUUGGACAAAUGAAGCGUUGAGAUUGGGAUGUUUGUUUAUAUAGGAGACUCGGAGAGUUUCUAGCUGAUUGCCUUCCCUAGUAACUCAAAACUAUUCUUCUUUGGUUACCUUAUACAAAAUUCGCUUGAUCAUUUAAGUUUGUAGAAGAAAAGUUUUUUUUUCUUUACUGUUGUCUGAAACAGACAGGAGAGAGGAGUUGUGUAUUCUCGGCGAAGGAAGGGGAGGGCCGAUGGACAAAGUCAAUGUAUUCUCGGCUUCGAAAAAAAAAAAAUGAACGUGUACGUGUUUCCAGGGUUAUGAGAUAAUACAUUCUACAGAAGUAUUUUAUGCUUAUGUGGAUAUUUCAUAUAUCCUUUAACCAUUGGAAAAAUGAACGGCUUGGCCGCUUGGUAAUAUUCGUGCUUUUUCAAUAAUAUGCAUGCUGGUUGUAUCGAAAUAUAGUAAUAAUACAGUUAAAAUAAAAAAGAAUAGUACUACAAUCAAAACACUAGCACAAAUUUCACUAUUUAUAUUUACUUCAUUUUUUAAUUCAAAUUUGAAUAUUUAUUAAUAGAUGAUUUACCAGCAUUUAUAAUUAAUAAUUUUUUUUCUUAAAAAUGUAGUGAGCGCGCGGAUCUACUUUUCUAGGAAGGUGGGGCAAGUGCCCCAUGCGGCGAUGCUAAUGUUAUAAAAUUUCUAAUUAAUACCAGUGAGCUUCUCUCAUGUCUCGUUUCCCCUGAAUCACUUCUAACAUCAUAACAUGUAAUUGUAGAAACUGGUCUCUUGAAUGAAUUACGUUGAAUAAGAAGGUACAAAUCAAAAAGAAGGUAAACUUAUUCGAUAAAAUCACGUAUACAAACACAACACAACAUGUAUAUAUAAGACCGUGUUUGGCUCUCGAGUCUCGACCUCUUUUAUUUAAUAUAGAGCUCUCCCCGUACAGUCUUUAAUAUCUAAGAAAAGGGUAAAACUCAUACCUAAAGUUACAGCUUGUACCCAAAACUCUUCCUCCUCGUUUACCGUCACAGCACUCUGGCAACUUCCUGAAAAUCCAUUCCAAACACGCAUAGCAACUGUUAUACACUAAGUCUUGCGUACACUGCACCAUUGCGUAAAUCUUUUUUGUCCCGAUCGUUGUCUCCCCCGCCCCGUAAAACAAUCCUUUGCUGCCUUCUACUAUGUUUUCAUUGGUGGCUUUUAUUGUCAGCUUCUUCAGGAGAUCCGAAAUCUCUCUGUUGAACAAUUCUGGAUUGCCGCUCACGUUGUUCGCGUUAGACAUAUAGAAAUCGUUCUCGUAAUCGAUCUUAUUAUGGGAAUCCUUCGUAGAUAGCUUAAAAAAACAUUGGUCAUACCAUAUAAUUGCCCCCUUGUUUCCUGGACAUCUCUUACGAAGCUGUCAUAUGUCAAGAACAGUAUUGCAUGGCUUAGUUUUCGUAUAAUAUAUAGUAAUGUUUGUACUAGCCUUAAAUGUCUAUUAAUUAGGUUUGUCUUAAUUCAACCAUCUACGUACAGUAUCAGAUAUGUAUCUAAGAUUUAAUACACCAAAAAAAAAAGAAUAUGAUGUGUUUGUAUGUGACUGCUAAAUAAAUAAUAUUGAAAUGAUAGUUUACCUCAGAGACGGCUGUUGUUAGGCAAGACCGGCACUUGGACCCGUAGGAGUCGCCACGGCAUUGGAACUUGAUGAAGGCAAUAUUGGGAUCCUUACCUUUUUGGUAGGUGCGGUACCCGUCGGUUAAAUUGCCGUUAUAGACAACUGUAUGGAGGAUCAUGUCGAAAUUUUUCUCGAACACACUCCCUGGCUUGUAUCUUCCUUCGGUGUUGUUGCAUUUGUGGUGCAAAUACGCAUUGGUGAGGUUCAUGGAAGAAACACUGCGUAUAAAGAGGAGUUGUAUGGCCACCACGGCCAAGAUAGGUACCAAUCCAAAUAUUGAAGACAUUUUUGAGAUCUUAGAUCUUUGUUCGGAGGGUUUUUUUUUUUUUUCUUUUUUUCCUUUGAGGGGUGGAAAUGUUUAUAUAGAAGACUUGCUGAGGGAUGAUGGAUCUUAAGUGGAGUUGGAAAUUUUAAUUUGCUAGUUGUUAGAAUUGGUGGAGGUUUUCAUGUUUUAGUGACCUUUUACAAGAUCGAUUGAUCAUUUCAGUUUCAAUUUUUUUUUUUUUUUUAAAAACAUGUUUUAAGUCUAUAAGAGAGGAGAGAUGAGCUGGCGUUGAGACUUGGUAUUUGCGGCGUGGCGAGAGGGCGGAAGAAAAAGUCAAAGUUGGAAGGUUUACCUGAUUUAAAUCGCACAAUAUGUGCGGCUUCGAACUACAAUGAAGGCAGUGUUCAUUUGGUACGUACGAAGUUAUAUGACUAGCAUUUUAUAUAUAUUAGGUUUGUGUUUCUGGAUAACAACAAAAAAUGUGAAACAUUUGAUUUGCUAAUGAUUACUUCACUUCCUGUUUUCAUUUUCUAGUUGCUUUAUACAAACAUUAAUUGAUCAUUUUAGUUUUUAGAAGAAAUGAACUUAGGUGACAUGGGAGAUCUCUCUCGGUCUACCAAUUUUGCUUUUUCCAUCAAAUCUCCAAAAGUUCCCAUUUUUUAUCUUCUGGGUUUUGGUCCAUGCUACCCAUAGAAAGUCUCUAUUGGCAAACAACAUCCAUAUCAAACCCAUUUACCCAGACAUCAUGUUUUUAAUUUCAUAAUGCGAAGUUGCUCAAGCCUAGACUUCCUUCUUCUUUGGGGAAACAAAAGUGAUAUUUUGGAGUGUGAAGUCAAUUUACGUAUGUUUUAUUGUUAAAUUGAAGCGUCUAAGUAGUGAUAAAUAAGGUUUAGCAAAAAAAAAACUUUAUAAUUAAAUAGUUAAACGUUUCUGUGAAACAUAAAAAAAAAAAUUACAAAUAUAAGAUUUAGAGAAAUUUAAUUUUAAUUUUAUCACUAUUUACUUAUGGAGAUUUUGCAUAAGUUAACGGGUAAAUAUAAUGGAGUAUUUGAUAUUUGAUAUUUCUAGCUUAGAAGAGCUCGUUGACACAACAAGAGAAUAAAAGAAGUUAGAAGCUCUCCAUACAUACUGUUGUGUUAAUACAAAACAAACCACAAAGAGGAGGACACUUUUUAUUCGCUAAUAGCACUUAUUCAAACACUACGCAAUAAGCUCUCACCGAUCAGUCCCUAAUUAGAUCUAAGAAAAGGGUAAAGCUCAUACCUUAAGUUACAGCUUCUACCCAAAACUCUUGCUCCUUGUUUUCCGUCGCCGCAUUUUCCAUACUUCUCGGCAAGCCACUCUUGACACACAUAGCAACCGUUCUCAAAUAAGUCGUUCGUACACUGCACCAUUGCGUAAAGCUUCUUUAUCCCGAGCGUUGACUCCCCCGUUGCAUACAAUGGUCCUUUGCCAUCUUCGCCUUUCCUGCUGACUUCUAACAUUAGCUUUUGGAAGAGAUCUUUCCUCACCUUGUUGAACCUCUGCGGAUUGCCGCUCACGUUCUUCGGGUUUGACAUACAUAAAAUAUUAUCGUAAUCGAUCCUUGAGACCCUAUCGUAACUGUAGGUAGAAAUCUCCAAAAGACAUUGGUCAUACCAUAUUAUUCCCCCUUUGUUUCCCGGACAUCUCUGACGAAGCUGUCAUUUAUAUAUGAACACCACGAUUUAGAAGAAUAUUGCGUAGACUAAUUUACGUAUAUAAUAUAGUCUAGGUACUAGCCCUAAAUGCGGUGUAGAAUCUUGACCAAACAAAAAGGACUUAUGUAGAGUAUCAGGAUAGUCUUAUUAUAUAUAUAUAUAUAUAUAUAUAUAUGUAUCUAUUACUAUAUAUUUAUCGCUAAGAGUCUAAGACUAACCAGUAUGUGAGAAUGCAUUUAUAUAUGGAAAUAGUUGACGCUAAUAGAUAAUGGUGAAGUGAUGUUAAUUACCCCAGAGAUGGCUGUGGAGAGGCAUGAGUGGCACUUGGAACCGUAGGAGUCGCCGCGGCACUGGAUCAUAACGAAGACGGUGUUGGGAGGUAUAUCUGUGUAGGGAGUCUACAUACUGGAGUCUAGGGCGUAACCGUUGCGCAGAUCGAAGGUAGAUAAGUUUCUGAUGACUUGGUUGAGAUUUCUCUCGAACACACUCCCUGGCGUGUAUUUCCCUUGGGUGUUGUUGCAUUUGUGGCUGAGAUACACAUUGUUAAGGUUGAGUGACCAAACGCUGCGUAUAAGGAGGAGUUGUAUGGCCACCAUGGCCAAGAUAGAGACCGAUCCAAAACUUGAAGACAUUGUUUGUGUUCUUUGAAUCUUUGUCCUGAGGGGUUGUUUUAUUUAUUUACUAUUGCUAGAUGGAUCGUUGAGGAAUGGGAAUGUUUAUAGGAGACUUUGAUGAGGGAUUUUAGAUUUUAAGCGGAGCUUUUUUUUAUUCUACUUUUGUGACCUUGUACAAAUUCGAUUGAUCAUUUGAGUUUCUAUAUAUAAGAGAUGUGUUUUGUUUGUAAGCCAUGAGAGAGGUUAAGACUUAGUAUUUGCGGCGAGGGGAGAGGGCUAAUGAAAAAGUCAAAGUUCGACAAUUUAAAUCUCUUAGAACCACACGAUACGGUGUUGACCUGAUAUUGAAGGCAAUUAAUAAUUUAUUACGUAGUUCUAUAAUGACAAGAAUAGUUUUUUGCUUAGAAACGACGGGCUUCCAACGGGAGGUGGUAUCAUAAGACUCCCAAAUUCGUCAACGUAUUAUUUUCAUUAACCAAAUAAACUAUUUAAAAUUUACGUUCAUACAUGUGUUUCAACAGGGUUAAGACUUAAGACUGAAGUGUCCGUUGCUGUACUACGAUUAUGAAAGAAAUAGGUCAAAACAAUUACGCAAACAUAACAACUUAUCAUCAUUGUAUACACACACAUAUCUCAAGAGGGAAAAUAUCAUAAUUAGAAAAUAUAUUUAUUAAUAUAAAUUAAAUUUUUAAAUCUAUUUUUGUUUAUUAUAGGAGCUAAUCUUCAAAAUUGAGAACUUUACUCUUGAAUUGAAAUAAUAAAUUUCAUAUAAUUUGAAGAAUCAUAGCUUACAUUGUAUUCUCUAACAUAACAAUGUAACAUGUAAAAUUGAUUGUAAUAUUAAGAAAUUUACAAUCCGUCAGGUAACAAUAUAAUGAUAAAUAUACUUGAAAAAAAAAAGAAGUGAAUUGAAAAAAAUUCACGAUAAUGAUAGUUUUUUUUCUUGUUGAUAAAUAUACUCUUUAAUAUCUCUCCACAAAAUACUAGUUUUUGUAGGCUAUGGGAAUUAUUAGUCUAGCUUUCGAAUUAAGAGUCCUCGAUAAUAAUAAGAAUUAAAAGGCUAAUUGAUAACAAUUCAUGUACGCGUAGAUACUGCAGAGGAAGUUCUCAAAUCUAUUUUUAGGGAGUGUUUAUUUUUUAUGAAAUAAAAUGUCAACUACGCCGCUACAAAAAUAUGAGUUAAACUUUAAGGAAUUCCAUGAAGGAAAUUUGGGAGCAUCUAAUCUUAGGUUAAGAGUGUCAUGGGUCAUGCAGUCAUGCUAUUCAAUCUGGAUUGGUUUUUAGUUAGAAAGUCAUUAAACACUCAUAUGACAAUUGUUUAAUGUCCGGUCUUUUAUUAAUUAAUAAAUCAAAAGCUAUUUAUAUACAUAUACUUUUCAUUUCUAUAAUAUAAACUCAUAUGUAUUUCUUCCUAUUGAAACAUUUAAAAUCUCUUUUUUCUUUAAUACAAAAGGAUACUACUAUUCGUUUGAAGCAAGAUAAAAAAAAAGACCACAUUACUUUUACUUUGCUGAAAAAAGGUAUUCAAACAAAACAAAAAUAUACACAUGGAGGUCUCAUCAAAUAGUCUUAAGUCUUUACAAAAGGGUAAAGCUCAUACCUAAAAUUACAGCUCGUGCUCAAAACUCUUCCUCCUUGUUUACCAUUGCAACAUUUGGGAAGCAUCGGCAAUAUCCAGUUCAAACACACAUUGCACUCGUCAGGUGAUAAGUCCUUCCUACAUUGCACCAUUGCGUACAACUUCUUAGUGCCGAACACAUUCUCCCCAGCAGCGUACACGGUGUUAUCCUUGCCGGCAUUAUUUUCUUUACUAUUGGCUUUCUCCUUCAGUUUAUAUAGGAGAGCCUUUGUAUUCUUGUUGAACGAAUCUAUAUUGUCGCUCAUAUCCUUCGCGUUGAACAAAUAGAAGUAGUUCUGGUAAUCAAUUUUUGCUAAGGUAUUGACCGAAGAAAUCUCGAGAACGCAGUUGUCAUACCAGAUUAUUCCCCCUUUAUUUUUUGGACAUCUCCUACCAAGCUGUCACAUAUACACAUAUAUAUCAACACCAAAAUCAAGAAUAAUUUUGCAUGGACCAGUCAUAAAAACACGUGUUUGCGAUGAUUUUCCAAGGAAUAUAGACGUCUGAAAUGAAGAUGUUUUCUUGUAGCUAGUACAAUGUAUACAUAAUCAAAACAAAUGGUUGCACUAAUGUUAAAUGGCAAGCUAUAGGAGAAACAUUACAAAAAAAGUGUGUUUUACAUCAUUUAUUUUUUAUAUUUGCAUUAGUUAUAAGUGAUGUUAAAAAAUUUUACAUCACUUAAAUAAGUGAUUUUGAAAAUGGUGAUGCAAAUAUUUGUUCAAAUAUUUUACAUCAAUUUAAACAAAUUUAAAUAAGUGAUUCUGAAAGUAGUGAUGCAAAUAUCUACAUCAGUUGUUCAAAUAUUUUACAUCCAUUUAAGCAAAUGAUGUAACUAUUUGCAUCAAUUAAGCAAAUGAUGUAAAUAUUUCCAUCAUUAUUGUAAUUAAUAUUAAUUUGUAUCGGUAACAAAAAAAAAAUUAAAGAUUUGCAUCAAUCAAUAUAAAUGAUGGUAAUGUUAUAUAAUAAUUAUAAAUUUUAAAAUAUAUGUAAUAAUUUAAAUUUUGUAUUAAAUUAUUUUAAUUAUUUUAAUAUUAGUUUAUAAUUAUUUUAUAAAUAAUUUAUUUAUUUUUACUUAUGAUAAUACCUCAAUAUUUAUUUUUAGAGUUAUUUAUAAAAAAUCAAACUCUUCACUUCCUCUCUUAGUUGUCGAUGUGGACAAACAUCAAAGUUAUAAUUAAAAAUUUAUUAGCAUUACGUUUUUAUUGAUGUAAUAUAUAUAUAUAUAAUUUUUCUAAAUGAUGUUAACAUAUAGUUACAUCAAUUAUUUAAGUGAUAUGCAUUCAUAUUUUUGUAUCACUUUUCAUAAAGUAAUAUAAAUUAAUAAAAAUUUGCAUCAUUUAUUAUUAAAUUGAUGUUAAAUUAACUAAUGGUAAAAUCAGUUACAUAACUGAUGUUAAAUUACAUAUUUUUAUAUCAAUUGGUAAUAAGUGAUUUAAAAUAAUAUUAUUUAUUUUAGUGAUACAAAUUAAGUGAUGUAAUACACACUUAUUUUUUUAGUGGAAGUGGAUUAGGCUAAAAGCACCAAUAUUAUCAAUUUAUCAUGUAGAGUAUGGGUAUUCAUAUAUAUACAUAUAUAUAUAUAUAUAACUAUGUGACAGCUAAUCAAUAGUAUUUAUGUGAUGUUACCCCAGAGAAUGCGGUGGAGAGGCAAGACCGGCACUUGGACCAGUAGGAGUCACCACGGCAUUGAAGCUUUACAAAGACGGUAUUUGGAGGGUUUCCAUUAGAGGCGUGGGCGAAACCACUGCGAAGAUUCCGUUAGAGAUGGAACGGACUACACGGUUUAGGCUUUCCUCGUAUGGACUUCCUGAAUUGUAUGUCCCUUGACUGUUAAUGCAUUUGUGGUGUAGAUAUUCAUUGGUCUGGUUCAAUGCAAUGGUCUGGCUCAGGGACAAAACACUGCGCAUAAAGACGAGUGGUAUGGCCACCACAGCCAAUAUGGAGACGGAAACGAAGCGUUUUGAUACAGAGGAUGAAGAGUACAUUGUUUUGUGUUUUGACUUUUUUUCUGGAGAGUUUUUUUUUUUUUUCAUUAGAUGCAUGAUGGAGAUGUUGGGAUGUAAUAUAUAGGAGACCCGAUGGACUUUGGAUAUGGAGAAUGGUUUGACUUUUUCGUUUUUUUUUUUUUUUGCUACCCUAUACAAAAUUUGAUUAAUCAUUUCAGUUUCUAGAAGAAUAGUUUUUAGUCUGUAAUGGACAGGAGAGAAAGGAGUUGAGGGCUGAGAGUCUUGAGACUUGGUAUUUGCGGCGAGGGGAAAGGAAGGCCGAUGAAAAAGUCAAACCCUACAAUUCACAUCGUAUGGUUGCCUACCUGAAAAUUCGGACCGGCCGAAUUAUUUCUACACUUUGUUUUAAACUAGCUUUCAGAAAGUGAAAAAAAAAAGGAGAAAUUCAACGUCAAAGGAGUUAUCAAAUAAUUGUGCUUGGAUUACAAGUUUAGAUUAUAUGGAAAGUGGGCCCUAGCUACUUAUUUGCAAGAACAAAAAAAACCUACUCAAAAAAUAAAGGGAUAGUAGACAGUCUACGACCAAAAAUUAUGUAACCAAGAUUUUGAGAAAAAUAAUAAAACAAUUCAUAAAGCUUGAAUUUGCUCAAGGUAUUUUCAAAAGAAGGAGGAAUUUUCCGUACUUCCCCAGGUAUUUUAUUUGGUAUACAUACGGAGCUCUCAUUAAAUAGUCUUUUAAGUCUUUACAAGAGGCUUUACAAAAGGGUAAAGCUCAUAUCUAAAAUUACAGCUUGUACACAAAACUCUUCCUCCUUGUUUACCAUUGCAGCAUUUCGGAAACUUUGCCAUGAUCCAGUCUAAACACAGACUGCAAUUUUUAACCGACAAAUCCUUCAUACAUUGCACCAUUCCAUACAACUUCAUCGUCCCGAGACUUUCCUCCAUCGUUGCAUACAUGUAGUUCUUCCCGUAGGGAUCAUUUUCUUUACUACUGGCUUUCUCCUUCAGAUUAUAAAGGAGAGCCUUCGUCUUCUUGUUAAACGACUCUUUAUCCCCACUCGCAUCCUUCGCGUUGUACAAAAAGAAAUUGUUUUGGUAAUCAAUCUGCGACCACCUAUAGACCGAAGAAAUCUCGAGAACACAGUUUUCGUACCAUAUUAUUCUCCCCUUGUUUUUCGGACAUCUCUUACGAAUCUGUCACUUAGACACCAAAAUCAAAAACUAUUGUUUUUUCUGUUUUAUAAUACACAGUUUUUUUUGUACUAUCCUUAAAAUGCCAAUCAAUAUUACAUAUGUAUCUCAGAUAAACCACCCACAAUAUAAGUAUCAGGAUUCUAAGAUAUAACCAAAACUAAUGUGCGCGUCUGAGUGCAUUUUAUGUAUACAUGUGAUUGUGACAGCUAAGAAAAUAAUAUUGAAGUGAUGUUACCCCAGCGAAGGCAGUGGUGAGGCAAGAGUGGCACUGGGAUAAGCUAAGGUCGCCCCGGCACUGGAGCUUGGGAUAGACAGUAUUGGGAGCAUCACCAACGACGGAGUGAAUAAAUCCGUAGUCUAACAAUUUUUUAAACAUAGUUUUGAUGGCUCUGUUGACGUUUUCCUCGUAUGGGCUCCCCGGUCUGUAUGUCCCUUGACUGUUGAUGCAUGUGUGGUGCAGAUACGCAUUGGUUUGGUUCAAAGCAUCGGUCUGAGAUAGGGACGCAAUACUGAGUAUAAAGAGGAGUUGCAUGGCCCCCACGACCAAGAUAGGGACCAGAACAAAGCGUUCCGAUAUAAAUGAAGACAUCGUUUUGAAAUUUGAUAUUAUCUCCGGAGAUGAACAACUUUUUAUUAUUAUAACAAUCGUGGAAGAAUUGGGAUGUUUUUAUAAAUGGAACAUUUUAGCUUUUAGAAGAAAUGUUGAAAAGUAAAUUAAUUAAUUAACUGAUAAAAUUAAUAUGUAUAUUUUUAGUCAGUAACGAAUAGGAGAGAGGAGUUGGCUUUGAGACUUAGUAUUUGCGCCGAGAGGAGGGGAUAGCCAAUAAAAUAAUCAGAGAUGAAAGUGUGGCUGAUGAGUAAGGGUAAUGUCGAAGUCGUCGUCACCACCAUCUUUACUAUCAGCGUAAAUGAGCAAAAAGAUAGAGGGAAGAGAGAGAACCCUAGAAGACGAGUAGAUCCGUAGAAGGAGGAUCGUUCUAAUUUUUUUUGAAAAUUCACUUGGUUUUUUAUAAAACUAUUUGCGUUUUUACAAUAUUUUUCAAAUUCGAUAAUCUUAUGUAGCAAGCUAAGGGUCAGCUGGCUAGCAUUCAACUAUGUAAUGGUCAUCGACUCAUCUCUAAUAUUGAGCUUUUUCCAUGAUAACAAAAAAUAUUGUGACAUUUUUUGGUCCGUUACUCUGACAUUAAAAAAAGGGAAACUUGUCAAAAAGGCAUAAACUUUCAAAUUUCAAGUUUAAAUCAUCAAUUUAUGUUAAUUUUUAAUUUUAUCAUAAACAUUUAUUAAGUGAUCAAAAUUAAAUACGAUGUAAAACCGACAAACGGAAUGGAUAAACUGGGUUGAAAAAACCGUUGUAAAUCAUGACUAAAUGAUAUGAAAUCGUUUAUUAUUUCUUCAGAAAAUCCCAAAAAGAUGAUUAGGAUCUUUGUAAUUUGGAGUUUAAAAUUAAAAUAGCGUUAGUGUCAUUUAACUUUGAUUUACAAUGGUUUUUUAACCUCGUUCAUCUGUUCUGUUUAUCAACUUCACAUCUUAUUUAAUUUGGCUAAGUUAACAUGAGUUUAUAAUUUAAGUUUAAAAUCAAGAAAAACUGAUGAAUUAAAAUGUUCACGCGAUAAUUCGUGUUUUGAAGGACCAAAAUUUGAAAGUUCGUGCUUUUUUACAAUUUUUCCAUAUCAAAAAAAGAAAAAUAACACUUAUUCAAACACAGCAACAAAAUGUACAUAUGGAGCUCUCAUUAAACAGUAAUCUUAAGUCUUUAAAAAGGGGUAAAGCUCAUACCUAAAAUUACAGCUCGUACUCACAACUCUUCCUCCUUGUUUACCGUUGCAGCAUUCGGUAAGCUUCGCCAUAAUCCAAUUCAAACACACAUUGCAAUUGUUAUCCAAUAAGUCCUUUGUACACUGCACCAGUGCGUACAACUUCUUUGUCCCAAGACUUCUCUCCCCUGUCGCGUACAAAAAUUGAAUCUUGCCAGCAUUGUUUCCUUUACUGAUGGCUUUCUCCUUAAGCUCAUAGAGGAGAGUCCUCGUAUUCUUGUUAAACAUUUCUUUAUUGCCGCUUACAUCCUUCGCAUUGUACAAAUAGAAAUUGUUCUGAUAAUCGAGCUUGAAUAAGGUGCUAACUGGAGAAAUCUCGAGAAGACAGUUGUCGUACCAUAUAAUUUUCCCCUUGUUUUUCGGACAUCUCUUGAGAAGCUAUCAUUGAUAUACUUAUAUUAACACCAAAAUCAAGAACUAUAUAACAUCUAUAAUACAUAGGGUGUUAGGAUCAUCAAAUAUCUAUUUUAUAUAGAUGUAAUCAAACUGGUAUGUGUGUGUGCGCGCAUUUAUAUAAGUAUAUAUGUGUCAAAUAAUUAAUCAGUAAUUUUCAAGUUAUAUUACCCCAGAGUAGGCAGUGGCGAGGCAAGAGCGACACUUGGAGACGUCAGAGUCACCCCUGCACUGGAGCUUGGCGAAGACGGUAUUUGGAGCAUUACCACUAUCGAUGUGUACAAAACCGUAGUUAGUUAUUGACGUAGAGAUAACACGGAUGACAUUGUUGAGGUUAACAUCGUAUGGACUCCCUAAUUUGUAUAAUCCUUGAUUGUUGAUGCAUUUGUGGUGCAGAUACGCAUUGGUCUGGUUCAAUGCCUUGGUCUAGGUCAUGAGAAAAACACUGUGAAUAAAGAGGAGUUGCAUGGCCACCUUGGCCAUUAUAGGGACUGAAACGAGGCGUUUAGUUUCAGAAGAUGACGAGUACAUUACUUUGGAUUUUGACAUUAUCACCAGAGGGGAAUAAUUUUUUUUUAGAUAAAAAUCAUGAAGGAGUUGAGAUGUUUAUAUAGGGGAACUUGAGAGAUCUUUGAUAUUUAGUGCAUAUGAGUUUUGAAAGUUUUACUUGAUAAUUAUUGGAAUGGUUGUAUUUUUUUUAUUGUUUUGAUUAAUUUAUACAAAAUUUGAAUGAUCAUUUCAGCUUGUAGAAGAAAUGUUUUUAGUCUGUAACGGACAAGAAAGAGAAGUUUGGCGUUUGAGACUUGGUAUUUACGGCGAGGGGAGAGGAGGGCCAAUGAAAAAAGUCAAAAUUCUGAAGAUCGUCUUAAUUUCUUUUUCAGAGACUUGGUAUUUGCGGAGAGCGGAGAGGAGAGGAGGACCAAUGAUAUAGUCAAAGCAGUCACGACACUUAGGCCCGUAUGAGUCGCCGCGGCACUGGAGGAUGGCGGAGACGGUAUUAUUAGGACCUUCAAAGGACGCCAUGUCAUAACCGGCGAUAUUGUUACUGGUUGAAGCGAUGGAAUUGAUUAUAGAUUUCAGGGUUUUCUCGUACGCACUUCCCGGCUUAUAUUUCCCUUGAGUUACCAUACAUUUGUGGUUGAGAUAUGCAUUGGUCAUGUUCAAGGAUGAAACCCUGCGUAUAAGGAACAGUUGUAUGGCUACCACGGCCAAUAUACGGACUAAAACUAGGCGCUUUAGUACAAACGUUGAAGGGUACAUUGUUUUGGAUUUUUUUUUUCUCAAAAGGGGGUGUUUUAUAUAUGGUGAAGCGUAAUUGAGACACUGAGGGGAUUUGGAUAUUGAAUAUAUAUAUAUACAACUGAUUUAUAGUUUUUGGUUACCUUAUACGUAAUUUUAAUUUGAUAAAUACAGUUUGUAGAAGAAAUGUUUACAGUUUGUAACGGAAUGGAGAGAGGAGUCGAAGGUUGAGACUUAUUUGCGGCGAGAAGAGGGCCGACGAAUAUGUAAAAAUUUCAGAGGUGUGACUUAGUUCAAACUCUUCCAAUCACACGAUUUUUAAGGUCCUAACGUGAAAUAAAGCAAUUUUGGUAAAAUAUGAUAAGAUUCCGGAUGAAAUAUAUACACAUAUAAAGUUAUCGUUUACUAAAAUGUUAUGGUUUGCAUGAUUUUAGAUAAUAAAAAAAUUGCUUUACAUUAAAAAUUUUUAAAAAAAAGACCAUAUAUGAUCAGUGACGGAGGUAGCUCUCUUUGGGAGGGGGGUCAAAUAACCCAUGUGAAUUUUUGUUACCAAAAUAUUUAGUUAUAAUUUGAAGAGAAAAUUUGGUAAAAUGUUGUAAAAUAAGUUUAUUGACCCCCUUUAAUAUUUGCAUGAUCACUGACCCCAUGACAAUCUUCUAAACAUAUUCUCAUUUUUCACCUGAGCCAAUUACCAUUAUUUCAAUUACUAUUUAACUAUUUUUUUCUUUUUGUUCUUUUAUUUUUUCUAUUUCUUUUUUUUUUCUUUUAUUAUUUUCAAAAGUCCACCACUUCUAAAUUCUAUCUUCAUAAAUAAUUGAAUUAUUUUAUUAUCACAUACUCAAUAUUUUCUUCUCAAUUAUAUUUUUCUUUUGUUAAACUUUCACUUCUUUUCUUAACCAUAUAAGAUUUUUACUUAACUGUCGACAAAAAUAUAUUACUCUAUUAAUAUUUUUUAAUAAUUAAUAAAUAUUAACUAUUUUUAAAACAGUUAACAUUUGGAAAAUAUAUUUAUAUUUUAUAAUAUUUUAAUUUAUAUUUAUUAUAAAUUAAAUUGACCCUAGUACAAUUUUGGGCUGGUUCCGCCACUCUAUAUGAUACUGACCAGACAGGUAAAACUAAAACAGUUUAACGGGGAAAGCUUAAUGAGAAGAGGACCAGAAGCGGUAAUGGUUGCAUAUUAUACAAAGAUGACCAAACCCAUCGAAAAUAAAAUAUUGUCAGAAUGUCAGAUUCUGAUUUCUGAACAGUGUUGGAUUGGACCGAAGAAGAAGAAGACUAUAAAUGUACGUAAUCAAAACGUAUUAAUGCAAUAUUUCUCUUUUUAAUUUAUGAUUUCGCUGAUUGUAUUCUAUUUUUAAUUAAAUAAUUUACAGGACAAAAAAAAAAACAACAAAUUUUCAGGAAAUUUUCAAAAAUAUAUUUUUCGAGCAGAUAUUUUAAAGCGUAAUAGAGAUUAUUGAAACUACAUUAUAAAUUUUUGUCAAAAUGAAACUGAAAGUUUACCACACACAAACAAAAAAAAAACACACACACUAAUUAGGACCACACUUUUUUUCAAUUUGCUUUAGGUCUUCAAAUAAUUAGGACCAACAGCAACAAAAGGAUAAAACUCAUACCUAAUGUUACAGCUCCUACCAAUAACUCUCGCUCCACGUUUAUAAAACAUGCACUUUUGAAAAUUCACGCUAUUACUUGUCACACACUCCAAACAACCCUUUGACGAUAGAUCUUGCGUACACUGCACCAUUCCGUACACUUUAUCCCUCCCGAUCUUCCUCUCCCCCGCUGCGUACAGCUCCGUGGGAUUUUUUUCACUGAUGGCUAUAGUUGUCAGAUUAUCUAUGAAAAUUCCCCAAGGCACGUUAGAAUAAUGUCCGACGCUAAAUUUCUUCGCAUUGGAGAUACAGAAAUUGUUGUCGUAAUCGAUCUUCCCAAAAUAAUUGACCGCAGAAAUGACUAGAAGACAUUGGUCGUACCAUAUUAUUCCCCCUUUGUAUCUUGGACAUCUUCUACGAAGCUAUCAUAUACAUAAUUAAAAAAAUUCCAUGUCGAUGUCACAAUCAAUAAGAACAUUGCAUGCACGGAUAUGUAAGUUUAUAACCAAAACUGAUACACUCUGUCUCUGCAUGUGUGCGUGCGGAUUGGUACUUUUAAAUAUGUGACUGCUAGUCAUAAUAUUGAAGUGAAGUUACCUCAGAGAUGGUGGUGGAAUAGCAAGAGCGGCAUUUCGCACCAUAGGAGUCGCCACGGCACUGAUGUGUGACGGAUACGUAAUUAGGACCUUCACCAGAGGAACUCAUUUCGAAACCGCGGGUAAAAUUACUGGUCAAAGGGAGGGAAUCGAUGAUAUCUAUGAGGUCUUUCUCGUACUCACUUCCCGGCUUGUAUUUCCCUUGACUGACAAAGCAUUUGUGUUGUAGAUACGCAUUAGUCAUAUUCAAGGAGAAAACGCUGGGUAUAAUUAAGGAGAAAUUGUAUGGCCACCACGGCCAAGAUAGGGACCAUAACGUGGCGUUUUGAUACAGAUGAGGAAGAAUACAUUGUUCCGGAUAUCUUUCUUUCUUUCCUUUUCCCCAAAGAGGGGUGUUUCUUUAUAGAUGAAGCGUUGAGACUGUGAUGUUUAGUUACUUUAUACGAAUUCGAUUGAUAUAUAUAUUCAGCUUGUAGGUGAAAAUGUUUACAGUUUGUAACGGACAGGAGAGAAGAGUUGGGACCUAAGACUUAUACGGCGACAAAAAGGGUGAGACUGAGUUCAAACUCUUCCAAUCACACGAUUUGUACGGUGCAAAACUUAAAUGAAUAAAUUUUUAAUUUCUAUUAAUACAAGAUUCUUUGUUUUUUUCUUUUUUUGGUAAGAUUCCAACUUUCAGUUUCAUCUACAAUAUAAUUAGCAUUAUUAUAUAUAGCAGAGCUAAGUGAAAAGGGAGUAACAACGCUAAUAGGAGGAAGAGCAUCAUUGGCUGGCUGCAGUGGAGAAAGCCUUAAUGCAUAUUUAAUUAGAUGACCAAACCCAUCGAAAAAUAAAAAGUAUCAGAAUGUGAAGAUUCUGAUUUUUAUACGGAGUUGGACUGAAGAAAAAGAAGAGUGUAAACGUAUUCAAAACAUGGCCAAUGCGUAUAUAAUGUAUAAUUUUAUUAUUUCCUUGAUUAUUUCUAUUACUUUCAUUAAAUAAUUUACAAAAGAAAAUAACAACAAAUUUGCAGGAAUAUUCUGAAUAGAUUUUUUUAAAGCGUAAUAGAGAUUGUAUAAUAAACUACAUCAUAUUUUUGUAGUAAAAUACAAAAUUUAUAAAUAGCCAUAUAAAAUAAAAUUGAAAGUUUACACCCAAAAAAUCUAUUCUAUUAAAACAGAAGCACAUUUAGUGCUUGCAUCCAAACACACCUAAAAUUUUUUAAGAAAAUUAUUUAGAUUUAUAAUUAUCUUAAUUUAUUACAAUAUCAUUUAAAAACACACUUUUAAUAAAUUUAAUUUUGAAAAUUAGAUAUUAAUUUAGAUAACUAAAGAUUUCCUUAAAUAUAUGUGAUAUUUAAUUUAAAUUCAAACUAUUUAUUUUGUUAAUUAAAUUUAAAUCUGACCAUAGAUAUUAAUUUAAAUUAUUUUAGACUUCGUUAAAUAUAAGUUCGAUUAAAUAUGUUAGAUUUAAUUUAAUAUUUAAAAUUCAAAUAAUAUUUACAGAAUAACACUAUGAUUAAUAAAUACAUUAUUUUUUUCAGUCAUAUUUAAUCAAACUAAAAUUUCACAUAUUAAAAAUUGAUAAUAUUAAUAUUAUAUAGUAAUAUGAUGAAAUGGGUUAGAUUUUUUUUUUAUAAUUGUGAUGUUAUGCGGGUUAGGUUAUCAAAACAUGCAAGAUAUUAAGACUCAAGACAACCCGUCUCAGAUACAAUAGACUUGGUAAAAAUUAUUUUAAAAUUAGUAAAUAUUUAUAUUAUAUAGUAAUAUGAACGGACGGAUUAGAAUUAUAGUUUUAUAACCACGGUUCCUUUUAAUAGAAUAAACGAAAUAAAAAUAUGUUUUUAUAAUAACAGUUAUUUUUUAUUAAUAAAAUUACCGGAUUAGAUAUAUGUUUAUAUGAUUGUGGUCAUAAUAUUACUAGAAAAAAAAAUAAAACACAAAUUAUAUCUAAACAUAUAAAUUAAUCUUUGUCAUUUAUUAGAAAAAUUAUAUUUAUAAAUAAAACAUAAAUUCUAUUACAAAUUUUGAUUAUAAAAUAUUUCCGUGCGGAUGCACGGCGUAAAAUCUAGUAACUAAUUAAAAGCCACAAUUUUUUCAAAUGGCUUUAGGUCUUCAAAUAAUUAGGACCAACAGCAACAAAAGGGUAAAACUCAUACCUAAAGUUACAGCUCCUACCAAUAACUCUCGCUCCUCGUUUAUAAAACAAGCAAUCCUGAAGAUGCACCAUAUUAUGUGUCAGACACUCCACGCACCCCUUUGCCGAUAUGUCUUGCGUACACUGCACCAUUCCGUACACUUUGUCCCUCCCGAUCCUCCUCUCCCCCGCCGCGUACACCGGUGAAGGGUUUUUUUCAUUGAUGGCUAUAGUUGUCAGAUUGCUUAUGAGUGCUUGCCACUUAGUGUUGGUAUAACCUUGGACACUAAAUCUCUUCGCAUUGGACAUACAGAAAUUGUUGUCGUAAUCGAUCCUCCCGAAAGUUUUUACCGUAGAAAUUUCUAAAAGACAUUGGUCGUACCAUAUUAUUCCUCCUUUGUAUCUCGGACACCUCCUACGAAGCUGUCAUAUACUUUUUUCCAUAUUGAUGCCUUGAUGAGUGGAGAUUUUGACUCAUUCUAACUUGUGUUUACUGAUUGUUUUAGGAGUUUUUGGAGUCUUUUCAGGAAGUUUCAGGUGACUUAGAGGCCUUAUCAAAGGAUUGGAGUGUUUAGGAGGCAUUGGAGCAAAAGGAGAUGAAUUUGAGCAAUAAGGAGCUAUUUCACACGUUUUUGGAGAAAUCAUCCCCGGAGCACCUGCUCCCGGUUUGGACCCUUCGUGGAGCACCUGCUCCAGACGGAAGUAAAAUAAGGAAAUCGACUUUUACCUAAUUUUAGGAGGAGAAAGAGAAUAAAAAGUCCACAGCCGCCUGUGUUUUAUAAUCACGUUUUUCUACAGACUUUUUACGCUUUCUUUUUACAAUUUCCUGAACCAGAGAGUUUUUACUUGUAAGCUUUUGGGAGAAGAAAUCUGCUACACUUGAGAAGAAUUCUGAACCCUAUUAUCUCUUCUGCGAUUUUUAAUCCAUGAAUUCCUUUUCAUCUGUUGCUGUGUUUCUUUUCUCCAUGUCUGAGUAGAUCUCUUAGCUAGAUUAAAGCGUUCAAAGGAUUUCAUGAGUUAAAGGAUUAGAUGCAAAUAGGGCUUGAUAUCUAUUGUCUUCACCAUUGUUAGACUUAAUGCUUAGGUUGAAUUGAUCACUCAAUCUGCGAUUUUAGGUUAAUCUAUUCAUCAAAAGUGUAAUAGGUUGCUAGAAUAAACAUUGGUGAGCGAUUUGUCCUUAGCCAACGACAGUUGAAGUUAAGGCAAAUCGUGAACAGAUCAAACCUGCUAGCUAAUGCUUGUCUGCAAUUUUCUAAGUUCAAACGACAGUUUAGGAUUUAGGUUGUUAGACAAAGUUAUCGAGAUCACGACAGUGGAUCGAUAAGCUUUUCUGUUUGAGUUCGAGACUUGCGUUACACUUGUGCCCUGAAUAGUCAUCUGAUUCUUAUCUCUGAAAUUCCUGCGAAUUGCUUUGGUCUAGUGCUUGUUUUAAUUUGAAUUUAAAUCGUUGUUUGCCAUUCUGUUUACUUUUUAGUUUUCGAAACAAACCAUCUUUCGUCUUAGCUUUAAUUUAAUCCUCGCAAAGUCAUAGAGUAACACUGGUCCUCUGGAUUCCGAAUCCUUUAUAUUACAACUACAUCACUGUUCUAUUGCAGUAGAAACUAGGAGUACAUCCAGUGUGAAUCAUGCCUCAAUCAAUAACAACAGGAUCUACCAAAACUGUUACACUGUCUUUGUGUGUGCACAUGCAGAUUUAUACAUGUAAAUAUGUGAUAGCUAAUCAAUAAUGAAGUGAAGUUACCUCAGAGAGUGUAGUAAAAUAGCAAGAGCGGCAUUGCGAUGGGGACCAAUCUGAAUAAAAUUUUGGCGCCGUUGCGAUGGGGACCAAUUCGUUACCUUUGAUUUUUGGUUUGAAAUUCAGACUAAGGCUUUACUAAUUUUUCUCUCUUGUUCUCUUGUUUGCGUGUGUUUCAGGUGUAUGUCAAACAUAUCCACAAGGAGCAACUGCACCGAUCUUGUUUCUUUGUCGAACACCGAGCUAGCAAGAGUCGAGCGAGAAAACAGACGUCAAAGGCCUAUUCAAGCCGACAUGGGCGAUCAAGGCAACAAUGGCAACAUGGCUGUCGAGUUGCAACAGCUUCGACAGCAAUUGGAGCAGCUGCAAAAGGUGCAGCAAGACAGGGAGCAGCCACAGCCUGCUAUUGGAGACAAGGACAGUCCGCAUGCUUACUAUCACAACAGGGCUGCGAUUGCUCCUCCAACCAUUCAGAGGCAAGACUUUGAGAUCAAACCUCAGCUGAUCUCAUUGGUGAAGCAGCACCUCUUUCAUGGGCUUCUUGCUGAGAUUUCGAUGGACCACAUCGAGAAUUUUGAGGAGAUUUGCAGCACGACUGGAUCAAAUGGGAUACCAGCCGAUUUCUUGAAGUGCAAGCUUUUUCCAUUCUCACUUGCGGACAAAGCUUUGCGCUGGCUGAAGUCAUUACCACCUGGAUCAUUGACUACAUGGGAAGAGUGCAGAUCAGCAUUUUUGGACCAUUUCUACACUAAGGCCAAAACUGCAGCUCUGAAGAACAAGAUCUCGUCGUUUAAACAGCAACCUGGUGAAGCUUUCUGCGAAGCUUGGGAGAGGUACAAGGAGUACCGAAGAGAGUGCCCUCACCAUGGGUUAUCUGAUGAGCAGAUUCUGUCAACCUUUUAUGAUGGUGUCAACUGGGAUUACAGGAAUGCUUUGAAUGCAGCUAGCAAUGGCGAUUUCAUGACUAAGUCCAAAGAAGCUGUUUAUGAGUUGAUUGAGAACUUAGCUGCAAGCUCCAGCAACAAAUCCCAAGAGUAUGACAGGUCUAGCAAAUCAGUUCAUAGUGUGGAGUUGAGCAAAAUCGAUGAGCUUACAGCAAAGGUGAAUCUGCUGUUGAGAGAGAACCAGAGAUCUGUGCAUUUUGCUGAUGAGGUUGGUGAUGCACCUCUUGCUCAAGAGUUUGUAGAUGCAGAGAAUAAUGAUCAGAUGGAGGUAAAUUUCAUGAAUGGACAAGGGUAUGUGCAGAAUCGCAGUUUCAACAACUUCAGAAGCCACCUGAAUUUAUCCUAUAGAAGCAACAAUGUUGAGAACCCUCAGGAUCAGGUCUAUCCGCAGCAAGGAGUGCAGAAUCAGUCAGGAUUUCAGAAGAACUUCUCCAGCAACUUCCAAGGAAAGCAGUUCAUCACCAAUCAGAAUCGAUUUCAAGGUGGAAAUCAGCAGAAGUUGUCUUUCACAAGUCUACAGCCUUCUUCGAGUUCCUCAAAUAAUUCGCAGGAUGAGCUGAAAAACUUGAUGCAAUAGCUGCUGGGUAAUCAGCAAAAGUCUUCCAUGGAGAUUAAUGCCAAAGUGGACACCAUGUACAAUUAUUUGAAUGGCAAGUAUGAGGCUGUGUGGACUCAUGUGAAGAAGCUGGAUGUUCAGGUAGCUCAGACUGCAAAAGCUGUGAAGAGAUCACCUGGAAAGGUGAAAACCCCAGGAAUGAGUUUGUGAAUGCUAUUGAGCUUAGAAGUGGGAAGAUUCUACAUGCUGCACCAACAAGCUCUGUCUCAGAAAAGAGGAAGGAAAAGGACGUGGAGCACCUGCUCCAAGAAGAAGAACCAGCUCAUGACGUAAAAAAGACGAAGGAGCACUCUUCCUCCAUCGGAGCACCUGCUCCAAAAUCUGGAGCACCUGCUCCAGACGUAGAUUUGACGAUGGAGCACCCUGAGUCAACGAGGGAGCACCUGCUCCAGCCACCUGCUCCAGCAAACAUUCCUGCAAGAGUUUACACGCCUAAGGUACCUUACCCAGUUCCACCAAAGAAGUCUCGCAAGGACUUAGAGGAUGCAAAGUGCAGGGAGAUGCUGAAGGAUUUGACUGUAAAACUCCCUCUAGCUGAUGCUGUUCAGAUGAUACCAGGCCUUAAAAGAUACAUGAAGGGGUUAGUGUCUGGGAAAGCUGUUGAGGAAGAGAGUGUCAUGAUGGUUUCGAAGGAGUGCAGUGCUGUGCUUCAGAACAAAGUGCUAAAGAAGAGAAGUGAUCCAGGAAGGUUUCUUCUCUCAGUCAGGAUUGGGAAUGUACUGUUUGCAAGGUCUCUCUGCGAUCUGAGUUCAAGUGUGAAUCUGAUGCCUUACUCUGUAGCCAAGCGAUUGGGUUACACCAGAUUCAAACCG